rnacentral:lncRNA from 1 species
UAAAGUUUCUCAAGGAAACUGGAUUGGCCGAUCGCGACUGGAGCUUCUAUAAUGUGGUCACGAGGACCGAGAAGGAUUUCGUGGACAAGUACAUAUGCCCUCACAAGGAAGCUGCGCCACACCUUGCCGAAGACUAUGCAACCGCUUGCAAAGGGCAGGUGCCAACUAACUUCAGAUUUUUACUUCAACCAAAAGUGGGCUGAGGAAAUUGGCUACUAUGUAUUGCGCAGCAAAGUUUUCACUCGGCAUAGUAAGUUGGUAGUUCCUGUUUUGGUGUUCUUUGCCAAACUAGAUGUUUUUUUUUAAUUUUCUGUAGUAUGCCUGUUACAUGCCGGUUUGGUCAUUGCUAAAUGCUAACUCCUAUGAAACUGAUAAUUUAAUUACUGAACCGUGAUAUGUUGAUGUUGUCAUCCCUUACAGAAGAUCUUUGUGUUUUCCUGAUAAUUUUAUUCCUGAAGCCUACAGUCUAAUUAUAUAUUUUCCUAAAUCAUGGUUGAGCGAAAUAUGUGUUGCUAGUUCCAUUCUAUCAUGUGUUCAGAUUUUAAGAGUGAUCUGGGAAGUAGGAUUUGCCGGCACCUAUCAUGUCCACCUUCAGAUACGUGGACAUGGACCAAUGCAGCCUGCCAAGAUGGUGCUCUGUGAGAUCAAACUUCUUCCACCAAGAAGGGCAUUUGGCCUCAAACUCUGCUCGCUUUUUUUUUUUUGAGAAUUACUCCUCAAUUUAUCUGAUAGGCAUCCUUUUGUUAGUAAGAAAUCGAUCUAUUUUAAUGUGAUUUAGAUAUGCUUCUUAGAGUCAUUGGUUGAUUUUGUUACUGAAAUCUGCACUUACUUCUCUUUGUGUCAUUGCUUCAUUCCAUCCAGUAGUUUGUAAACCACUGGAACAAUAUCAUGAAAAUAUUUUUGUGUUCUGGAAAGUGGAGUUUGCCGGCAUUCCUCCUUCAGAUACGUGGGCAUGAACCAACGCAGCCUGCCAAGAUGGUGCUCAGUGAGAUCAAACUCCUUACACACAAGAGCAUGUGGCAUAAACUCUGCUUGCUCUUAUUCUUUUUUGAGAAUUACUCCUCAAUUUAUCUGCUAGAUAUUCUUUUGUUAGUAAGAAACCCAUCUAUUUUAAUGCGAUUUAGAUAUGCUUCUUCUGGUCAUUGGUUGAUUUCGUUACUGAAAUCUGUACAUGCUUUCUUUGUAUCAUUGCUUCAUGUCAUUAAUUCAAUUCAUGCCUUACAGUUAGUUGUUCAUAGCUGCAGAACUGUAGGGAGUUCCAUCCAAUGGUUUGUAAACUACUGGAACAGUAUCAUGUGAAAAAAUUAGUUUCCUGGUUCUAUUUUGCCUCUCCUUUAUGUGGUCCUAUUUUUUCUUGUUUACGGAUUCUUUGUUAGUGCUCCUUCGCAUUGCAAUCUUGUGCGUCAGAUUGCUGCUGUUUGUGAUCUGGUAACUGAUUCCCAUCAUGUUGCUUAAUUUGCCCUGGUAUUUUUUGUUGUUUCCAUACAGGUUAGUUGGGAGUACAUACUUAUACAAAUGAAAAUACCUUUUAAAUUUGCUUCCAUGGGAAAGUCAUUGCUGAAGUAAUCGUCACAAGAGAUUUGAAGAUCAUAGUUUUUUUAUUUGCAAGAUCUUGCUUAGAUGUGGACCUGGAGAUAGAUAUCCUUGGGCAUGAACUUCGAGAGUGCCUUAACUUAAUACACAGGAUUUAGUGAGUUCAAUGAUCUUACUUUUCAUCUCAAUUUUAAUCGGCGGUGUCGAUAUUUGAAGAUAGGCUUGAGCGUAAUCAAAUGGUAGUGGGGCUCGGUGAUCCUUUAUAUACCAUGCAUAUUUCUCAAUUUGGUGCAACUCGUACACAAAAAUAUGACACAUUCUCUAUAAGUUAUUAAUAGUGAUUUUUUGGGGGGUUCCGUGACUUGAUUCCUAUUUAGAUUCCAGCCUCCUUGCAUGCUAGAGCAAUAACACGGUUUCUGAUGUUCAAUUCGAACUUCCUGAAUUUUUAGGACACUAUUGUCCAUAUUGUUCAACUGUAAUGCCUAAGAUGCACUGUCUUGAAGUUGCGUGGUCAAUGGCUGCUGUUGAUAUAUUUUUAUUGCUUAAUAACCCCAGAAUGUAGAUACGCUGUUCUGAUUUUUUUAUAAUUUCAGCUGCUGUUUAUAUCCCUGAGAUCGUUACCUGCUCAUAAGCUGCAGGCACUGAUUGCCAUCUUCAUACUGGAUCUGUUGAGUUGGGAGCUAUGUACCAGUUAUGUCUGAUUAACCAUGUGUUCUGCUGUAAUCAUCCAAUAUUUUUGCUCGGCUACCUUGCCUUAGGUUUCCACUGCAGCAGCGACCAUCAGACCUCGCUGGCAGGGAAUUUCCAUGCGUUAUGGUUUUGGUCCCGAAAGUUUCUUAAAUUGUUGCUACUUUGACACUGUCUGUUUCAUGCAUUGCUAUUCUGAACUUUAUUAUGAUGUCAGUUCAAUAUUCUAUUUGUAAAUGUGAUGCUGUUUCUGACCAUGGCCAAAGCAUCUAGUCUGUGUUAAUUUGCUAAGGAGGUGUAGUAUAUUCAAGGGUGCAGUAUAUUCAGGGGUGCUACAAAGUUCCAAACUUAAAUGCAACAACACCCAGCAUCAAAACAUUCAGUACUUCAACAAAUUCAGCUUAAUUAGUGUCGCACACACAUUUAUAAACUCUUACACAGACCGAGGUAUGCAGUAUCCAUUGAUAAACAAAACUCCAGAAACUAAAUAAACAGGGGAAAUAAUGUAGUGAUAAUAAAUACAGAAGCGAAAUGAUACUGAUGAAAAAAAGAAUUAAGUCAGAAAUCAAUCAAGUUACAAACUGCAUUGUAACGGAAGGUUGUCUUGGGUGCAGCAGGGCGGCUGCGCUCUUGAAGGCAGACUCAACAUCAGCAAGCACCUGUUGAAUUUUUUUCCUGGACUCGCUGUUGCCGUUGAUGAGACACACGCGGAUGUCCUGGAGGCACGGCAAACAUUCCAUGCCGGCUGGUGUAGCGCCUCUCCACUCCGUGCAGCCGAAUUCCACCAACGUACCUUGGGCAUAGCUCCUGCCUCGAAGCUCAGGCAUCUGUUUUGACCUUUAUAUUAGAGGCAUGGAAGAUGUAUGUUCAGGAGUACUUUACAUAACUACUGAAAGGUUUAGAACCUUAGAGGGCAGCACCUUUGAACAGCAGAGUUUUGCUAUCUGUGCGGUCUUAUUUAGAUGUGGAGAUAGAUAACCUUGGACACGAAACUGGAGAGUUUCCUUAACGUAAGUAUACAUAAUUUGCCGAGUUCUACUUCCAUACCUUUUAUCUAAAUUUUAAUUGGUGUUGUCAAUAUUUGAAGCCAAGCUUGCUCAAAUGGUAGCGAUGUCCUAGUGAUCCUCUACAUACCAUGCAUACUAAUUAGUGGGGAUAUGCACAUGUACUUUGGCGGGUUGGUCGCCUCUUCCACUAUCUAUGCCUCUUGUCCCAUGCGGGCGACACCCGUCCGUGGUCCUAACGCUGUUACUGACUGACGAAAGAACCUGAAGAUGUGGCUGCGGCCUGCAGAUUCUCUACUUGAGGAGGCAGGUUUUGUGUGCCCAAGCUGAAAUUCCAAAUAGCGCAGACCCCAGGAGCUAGUGUGUAAGCAGUUGUGUGUUGUACUUGAACCUUUUGCUGUUCUGCAGAGAAUUUGAUGAUCCUGGUAAAGACAAUUUGUCUGGUAUUAACCUGGUCACCGCCGAUCCCUUUUGUUGGAACUUCCAUUACUGUGACACUGCUGAAGCCUUUAGCCCUAGUAACCUUGUCACAUGGUGCUGAAGUGGCACCUUCAUUAGACUGGAUUUCAAAGCACCCCAGAACCGGGAAUAAUCUUGUGCUGCCAACCAUGACCUUGCCUUGGACAUCUGACAAGCAUCGACGAGGGAGAGAGAAAGAAUCUCUCCCCCCAAGAAUACGAAACUAAUAACUCGAUAGGUGCAAGGCGCGCAAGAGAGGAUCCGGAGGCAAUGUAGCUCAGGAACCCAUUUACUGAAUCCCCAUAUUGGAAGAUGGGGUACCUGAUGGGAAGGAGGGUCAGGUAAUGAGUCCAGCCGAUUGUCAUGCCCACUAAAGGCUAGGUUGGUUCAUGCCCUGGGCACUAUGCCUGGGACGAAGCACAGCCUGAAAAUAGCCUCGGAAACUGCCUGGCUAGGCACGCAUUGGAGGAUGGUGUUUGGUUCCUGAACUUAGCCUGGAGAAAGUUUUACCUAGGAAGAUGUGCUAGACCCUAACAGAAGUAUAGCUAACAUCAUGAUUUGAUCCAGGAUCAUGGAGCAGAUACAGAACCGACCAUGCAUUGGCACCAUAAUAGUACGUUCAAAAGUGUAUAUACACAAUACAUACAUAUACUAUUAAAGCAUAGGCAGGAUUUAUUAGGGACGAACAUUUCCAGACUCUACGUCUGGAUCAUUCGUCAAAGGGCCUGCUGAGUGUUGACCGGCAUAUUCAUUCAUACAUAAAACUGGGAGUAUCAGGUUUACAGUACUCAAGAAAUUAAACAUAUAUACAUACAAUGGAAAACGCAAUAUUUAUAAUAAAAUAAACCAAACAGCAAAGUGAUUAUGCAUGCCUACUAAACUGUAACAGAGGGAUGUCUUGGGUGCGCACUUGCGGCAUUCUUGAAGCCUGCCUUGAUGUUAGCGCGCACAUGCUGGUGCAGAUUUUUGUCCGACUCAACACGGGAGAAUUAAUGUGAGGCGCACACGGAUGUCCUGGAGGCAGGGCAGGCACUCCAUGCCGAAUGGUGUACCGCCUCUCCACUCUUGCCAUCCAAAUGCCACGCUGAGCGUUCGUAGCUUGGGCAUAGCUCCAGCCUCGAAGCUCAGGUAUGCAGUCACAUCUUCAUCAGAACGGAAAAAGAAGUACUCUAAAACAGGGAAUAACCCUGUGCCGACCACGACCUUGUCUUGGGAGAGCUCUGACACGCGGAUGGUGGCAUCAACAAGGGAGGGAAGGUCUCCAAGAACACGAACCUCGUCACUCGACAUGUGCAAGACGUGCAGAGAGACGACCCGGAGGCAACAUAGUUCACCAAUCCAUCUGGGAGCUCGACUGAGCUCCCAUGUUGCUAGAUCAAGCACCUCGAGACGAGGAGGAUCGACUAGUGAGUUCAGCCGGCUGCCAUAGUCAUCUAAUUUACCCCAACACACGAGGGAGAGGUGUUUGAGAUCUCUGAGCAUUUGAAUGGAGGAAACCAAAGCAUUGACGUGUUCAACCGUCAAGCACUGCUCGUAAGGUGUGCAUAACAUCAAUUCCUUCAGAUUGGUUAGCUCACUAAGGCCUUUGAUAUCUUCUAGUGAAUUCUUCAACAUGCCAGUGUAAUGCAAGGUGCGGAUUGAUUUCAUGUUUUGGAUCCCUUCAGGUAGCAUUGCACCAUACGGAAGUUUCAAGUGAAACAAGUUGGCCAAGCGAGUUGUAUCGGAUGGAAAGCUUUGCACUGACCGACAUGAUAACUCCAAACUUUCCAAAUGCACAAGCCCUCGAAUUUCAGUAGGGAGUGCUACAUCUGCUAAUCUGGCUAAGACCUUCAAAUACCUAAGCAGAAAUAAAUGGCCAAUUGCAGUUAGGUCGACUAUCAUGUCCCAUCCAUCUGGAAACUCAAAGAAUAGAACCCGUAGAUACUUAAACUGUGAAAGGUGAGGUAUGUACUUGGACUCUCCGAACCGUGCAUAUGAUCUAACUUGUGACAUGCUAGUAGCAAGGGUCUCCGAUGUUGCACCACCAACACCGGACUUCAGGGAUAACCGAUGAACCUUGUACUCGCAACUUUGUAAUCUUGCCAUGUCUUCAUAGUUAUAUGCCACACUGAUGAAAUUGUUUUCUUUAUUCUUGCUUAUGAUCAAAUCAACCAUCAUGUUGUGUACUCUGCAAGAAACCACAUCCCCAUAGCAUAUUUCUUCAGGUUGAAUCAGACUUCUAUUGAUAAGCUCAUCAAAAUAACUUUUGGCAACGUCUUCCAAAUCUACUCCGUGCAAAUUACAAACAAAGCCUUCGCCUAUUCAUUGGCAAACCAGGUCAUCCUUUCUGAUCACACAGUCUUCUGGAUACAUGCCAAGGUACAAAAAGCAUGGCCAGAGAUGAACGGGAAGAUGCAUGUAGCUAAGGUUUAGUAUAUACUCCUCAUCUCUUCCAUGGUGGGUUCUGUGGCAAACUUGCUACCAAGAGAAGUCUUUAUGCUCCCCUAUUUAGUCAGUGAUCUUGCUUCAUGCCUAGCUAUGGUGAUAAUUGCAAGCGGCACUCCACCACAUUUCUUGAGAAUGUCACCUGAAUUUCCUUGAAACUGUGGUGGGUAGACAAUUUCAUACCCAAAUACUCUAUCAAAAAUAAUCUUCUCGAAUCUUGCUCUUCGAGGUGCUUCAUUCUCAUGUACGAUCAUUGCGACAUGCCCUCACAGCUAUGCCAUCCAAUCGUGUGGUUACCAUUACCCUACUUCCAUUACUGUUUUCCGGAAAGGCGCAACUAAUAAUAUUACAUGUUGGUUGAUCCCAGAAGUCAUCAACUACAAUAAAGUACCUAUUGCGAUUUUGCGCAAGUUAGUACAUGGUCAUAAGUGUUGGUAAUCGUAGCAGAAUUUAAAUUUUUUCCUACGCAUCACCAAGAUCCAUCUAUGAAGUAUACUAGCAACGAGGGGAAAAGAGUGCAUCUACAUACCCUUGUAGAUCGCGAGUGGAAGCGUUCCAAUGAACGGGGUUGAUGGAGUCGUCCUCGCCGUGAUCCAAAUCACCGAUGACCGAGUGCCGAACGGACGGCACCUCCGCGUUCAACACACGUACGGAGCAGCGACGUCUCCUCCUUCUUGAUCCAGCAAGGGGGAAGGAGAGGUUGAUGGAGAUCCAGCAGCACGACGGCGUGGUGGUGGAAGUAGCGGGAUCCCGGCAGGGCUUCGCCAAGCGCAAACGGGACGGAGAGGUGUUGCAGGGGGAGAGGGAGGCGCCAGGGGCUGUGGUGCUGCUGCCCUCCCUCCCCCCCACUAUAUAUAGGCUCCCUGGGGGGGGCGCCGGCCCUGGGAGAUCAGAUCUCCAAGGGGGGGGGGCGGCCAAGGGGGAAGGGGGGGUGGCUUCCCCCCCAAGCCAAGUGGGGCGCCCCCCACCACCAGGGUUUCCAACCCUAGGCGCAGGGGGAGGCCCAAGGGGGGCGCCCCAGCCCACUAAGGGCUGGUUCCCUUCCCACUUCAGCCCAUGGGGCCCUCCGGGAUAGGUGGCCCCACCCGGUGGACCCCCGGGACCCUUCCGGUGGUCCCGGUACAAUACCGAUAACCCCCGAAACCUUCCCGGUGGCCGAAACUGGACUUCCUAUAUAUAAUUCUUCACCUCCGGACUAUUCCGGAACUCCUCGUGACGUCCGGGAUCUCAUCCGGGACUCCGAACAACUUUCGGGUUUCUGCAUACUAAUAUCUCUACAACCCUAGCGUCACCGAACCUUAAGUGUGUAGACCCUACGGGUUCGGGAGACAUGCAGACAUGACCGAGACGCCUCUCCGGUCAAUAACCAACAGCGGGAUCUGGAUACCCAUGUUGGCUCCCACAUGUUCCACGAUGAUCUCAUCGGAUGAACCACGAUGUCGAGGAUUCAAUCAAUCCCGUAUACAAUUCCCUUUGUCAAUCGGUACGUUACUUGCCCGAGAUUCAAUCGUCGGUAUCCCAAUACCUUGUUCAAUAUCGUUACCGGCAAGUCACUUUACUCGUACCGUAAUGCAUGAUCCCGUGGCUAACUCCUUAGUCACAUUGAGCUCAUUAUGAUGAUGCAUUACCGAGUGGGCCCAGAGAUACCUCUCCGUCAUACGGAGUGGCAAAUCCCAGUCUCGAUCCGUGUCAACCCAACAGACACUUUCAGAGAUACCCGUAGUGUACCUUUAUAGUCACACAGUUACGUUGUGACGUUGGGUACACCCAAAGCACUCCUACGGCAUCCGGGAGUUACACGAUCUCAUGGUCUAAGGAAAAGAUACUUGACAUUGGAAAAGCUCUAGCAAACGAACUACACGAUCUUUAGUGCUAUGCUUAGGAUUGGGUCUUGUCCAUCACAUCAUUCUCCUAAUGAUGUGAUCCCGUUAUCAAUGACAUCCAAUGUCCAUAGUCAGGAAACCAUGACUAUCUGUUGAUCAACGAGCUAGUCAACUAGAGGCUUACUAGGGACACGUUGUGGUCUAUGUAUUCACACAUGUAUUACGAUUUCCGGAUAACACAAUUAUAGCAUGAACAAUAGACAAUUAUCAUGAACAAAGAAAUAUAAUAAUAACCAUUUUAUUAUUGCCUCUAGGGCAUAUUUCCAACAGUCUCCCAGUUGCACUAGAGUCAAUAAUCUAGUUACAUUGUGAUGAAUCGAACACCCAUAGCGUUCUGGUGUUGAUCAUGUUUUGCUCUAGGGAGAGGUUUAGUCAACGGAUCUGCUACAUUCAGGUCCGUAUGCACUUUACAAAUAUCUAUGUCUCCAUUUUGAACACUUUCACGAAUGGAGUUGAAGCGACGCUUGAUAUGCCUGGUCUUCCUGUGAAACCUGGGCUCCUUGGCAAGGGCAAUAGCUCCAGUGUUGUCACAGAAGAGAGUCAUCGGGCCCGACGCAUUGGGAAUCACCCCUAGGUCGGUAAUGAACUCCUUCAUCCAGACUGCUUCUUGCGCUGCCUCUGAGGCUGCCAUGUACUCCGCUUCACAUGUAGAUCCCGCCACGACACUUUGCUUGCAACUGCACCAGCUUACUGCCCCUCCAUUCAAAAUAUACACGUAUCCGGUUUGUGACUUCGAGUCAUCCAGAUCUGUGUCGAAGCUAGCGUCGACGUAACCCUUUACGACGAGCUCUUCGUCACCUCCAUAAACGAGAAACAUAUCCUUAGUCCUCUUCAGGUACUUCAGGAUAUUCUUGACCGCUGUCCAGUGUUCCAUGCCGGGAUUACUUUGGUACCUUCCUACCAAACUUACAGCAAGGUUUACAUCAGGUCUGGUACACAGCAUGGCAUACAUAAUAGACCCAAUGGCCGAGGCAUAGGGGAUGACACUCAUCUUUUCUCUAUCUUCUGCCGUGGUCGGGCAUUGAGCCGUGCUCAAUUGCACACCUUGCAAUACAGGCAAGAACCCCUUCUUGGACUGAUCCAUAUUGAACUUCUUCAAUAUCUUGUCAAGGUACGUACUCUGUGAAAGACCAAUGAGGCGUCUUGAUCUAUCUCUAUAGAUCUUGAUGCCUAAUAUAUAAGCAGCUUCUCCAAGGUCCUUCAUUGAAAAACACUUAUUCAAAUAGGCCUUUAUACUUUCCAAGAAUUCUAUAUCAUUUCUCAUCAAUAGUAUGUCAUCCACAUAUAAUAAGAGAAAUGCUACAGAGCUCCCACUCACUUUCUUGUAAACACAGGCUUCUCCAUAAGUCUGUGUAAACCCAAACGCUUUGAUCAUCUCAUCAAAACGAAUGUUCCAACUCCGAGAUGCUUGCACCAGCCCAUAGAUGGAGCGCUGGAGCUUGCAUACCUUGUUAGCAUUCUUAGGAUCGACAAAACCUUCCGGCUGCAUCAUAUACAAUUCUUCCUUAAGAAAGCCGUUAAGGAAUGCCGUUUUGACAUCCAUCUGCCAUAUCUCAUAAUCAUAGUAUGCGACAAUUGCUAACAUGAUUCGGACGGACUUCAGCUUCGCUACGGGUGAGAAAGUCUCAUCGUAGUCAACCCCUUGAACUUGUCGAUAACCCUUAGCGACAAGUCGAGCCUUAUAGAUGGUCACAUUACCAUCCGCGUCUGUCUUCUUCUUAAAGAUCCAUUUAUUUUCUAUCGCUCGCCGAUCAUCGGGCAAGUCUGUCAAAGUCCACACUUUGUUUUCAUACAUGGAUCCUAUCUCGGAUUUCAUGGCUUCUAGCCAUUUGUCGGAAUCCGGGCCCGCCAUCGCUUCUUCAUAGUUCGAAGGUUCACCGUUGUCUAACAACAUGAUUUCCAGGGCAGGGUUGCCGUACCACUCUGGUGCGGAACGUGUCCUUGUGGACCUUCGAAGUUCAGCAGUAACUUGAUCCGAAGCUUCAUGAUCAUCAUCAUUAACUUCCUCCCCAGUCGGUGUAGGCACCACAGGAACAUCUUCCCGCUGCGCUACUUUCCGGUUCGGAAAGGGUGACUAUCACCUCAUCAAGUUCCACUUUCCUCCCACUCAAUUCUUUCGAGAGAAACUCUUUCUCCAGAAAGGACCCGUUCUUGGCAACAAAGAUCUUGCCUUCGGAUCUGAGGUAGAAGGUAUACCCAAUAGUUUCCUUAGGGUAUCCUAUGAAGACGCAUUUUUCCGACUUGGGUUCGAGCUUUUCAGGUUGAAGUUUCUUGACAUAAGCAUCGCAUCCCCAAACUUUUAGAAACGACAGCUUAGGUUUCUUCCCAAACCAUAAUUCAUACGGUGUCGUCUCAACGGAUUUCGACGGUGCCCUAUUUAAAGUGAAUGCGGCAGUCUCUAAAGCAUAGCCCCAAAAUGAGAGCGGUAGAUCGGUAAGAGACAUCAUAGAUCGCACCAUAUCCAAUAGAGUGCGAUUACGAUGUUCGGACACACCGUUUCGCUGAGGUGUUCCAGGCGGCGUGAGUUGUGAAACGAUUCCACAUUUCCUUAAGUGCGUACCAAAUUCGUGACUUAAAUAUUCUCCACCACGAUCUGAUCGUAAGAACUUUAUUUUCCUGUCACGUUGAUUCUCAACCUCACUCUAAAAUUCCUUGAACUUUUCAAAGGUUUCAGACUUGUGUUUCAUUAGGUAGACAUACCCAUAUCUACUUAAGUCAUCAGUGAGAGUGAGAACAUAACGAUAUCCUCCGCGAGCCUCAACACUCAUUGGACCGCACACAUCGGUAUGUAUGAUUUCCAAUAAGUUGGUUGCUCGCUCCAUUGUUCCGGAGAAUGGAGUCUUGGUCAUCUUACCCAUGAGGCAUGGUUCGCACGUGUCAAAUGAUUCGUAAUCAAGAGACUCCAAAAGUCCAUCUGCAUGGAGCUUCUUCAUGCGCUUGACACCAAUGUGACCAAGGCGGCAGUGCCACAAGUAUGUGGGACUAUCGUUAUCAACUUUACAUCUUUUGGUAUUCACACCAUGAAUAUGUGUAACAUCACGUUCGAGAUUCAUCAAGAAUAAACCAUUGACCAGCGGGGCAUGACCAUAAAACAUAUCUCUCAUAUAAAUAGAACAACCAUUAUUCUCGGAUUUAAAUGAGUAGCCAUCUCGAAUUAAACGAGAUCCAGAUACAAUGUUCAUGCUCAAAGCUGGCACUAAAUAACAAUUAUUGAGGUUUAAAACUAAUCCCGUAGGUAAAUGCAGAGGUAGCGUGCCGACGGCGAUCACAUCGACCUUGGAACCAUUCCCGACGCGCAUCGUCACCUCGUCCUUCGCCAGUCUCCGCUUAUUCCGCAGUUCCUGUUUUGAGUUACAAAUAUGAGCAACCGCACCGGUAUCAAAUACCCAGGAGCUACUACGAGUACUGGUAAGGUACACAUCAAUUACAUGUAUAUCACAUAUACCUUUGGUGUUGCCGGCCUUCUUGUCCGCUAAGUAUUUGGGGCAGUUCCGCUUCCAGUGACCACUUCCCUUGCAAUAAAAGCACUCAGUCUCAGGCUUGGGUCCAUUCUUCGACUUCUUCCCGGCAACUGGCUUACCGGGCGCGGCAACUCCCUUGCCGUACUUCUUGAAGUUCUUCUUACCCUUGCCUUUCUUGAACUUAGUGGUUUUAUUCACCAUCAACACUUGAUGUUCCUUUCUGAUCUCCACCUCCGCUGAUUUCAGCAUCAAAUAUACCUCAGGAAUGGUCUUUUCCAUCCCCUGCAUAUUGAAGUUCAUCACAAAGCUCUUGUAGCUCGGUGGAAGCGACUGAAGGAUUCUGUCAAUGACCGCGUCAUCCGGGAGAUUAACUCCCAGCUGAGACAAGCGGUUGUGUAACCCAGACAUUCUGAGUAUGUGCUCACUAACAGAACUAUUUUCCUCCAUUUUACAGCUGAAGAACUUGUCAGAGACUUCAUAUCUCUCGACCCGGGCAUGAGCUUGGAAAACCAUUUUCAGCUCUUCGAACAUCUCAUAUGCUCCAUGUUUCUCAAAACGCUUUUGGAGACCCGGUUCUAAGCUGUAAAGCAUGCCGCACUGAACGAGGGAGUAAUCAUCAGCACGUGAUUGCCAAGCGUUCAUAACGUCUUGGUUCUCUGGGAUUGGUGCUUCACCUAGCGGUGCUUCUAAGACAUAAUCUUUCUUGGCAGCUAUGAGGAUGAUCCUCAGGUUCCGGACCCAGUCUGUUUAGUUGCUGCCAUCAUCUUUCAGCUUGGUUUUCUCUAGGAACGCGUUGAAGUUGAGGACAACGUGGGCCAUUUGAUCUACAAGACAUAUUGUAAAGAUUUUAGACUAAGUUCAUGAUAAUUAAGUUCAUCUAAUCAAAUUAUUCAAUGAACUCCCACUCACAUAGACAUCCCUCUAGUCAUCUAAGUGAAACAUGAUCCGAGUUAACUAGGCCGUGUCCGAUCAUCACGUGAGACGGACUAGUCAAGAUCGGUGAACAUCUCCAUGUUGAUCGUAUCUUCUAUACGACUCAUGCUCGAUCUUUCGGUCCUCCGUGUUCCGAGGCUCCUUCCACAACUUCCUCCGUCUGCUCAAGCGCUCAUCCUGCCUGUUGUUUUCGGACCUCGACAAGGUUGUCAAGCCCAAUGUUGCCUUCCUGAGGGAGUGCGGGCUAGGUGAUUGUGAUAUUGCCAAGCUGUGUAUCUGGGAGCCGAGGAUGCUGGCAAUUAACCCGGAGCGCGUCCGCGCAAUGGUGGCAUGUGCUGAAAGAUUAGGUGUACCUCGUGGCGAUGGGAUGUUCAGGCUAGCGCUACAGGCUGUCGCGUUUCUCAACGAGGAGAAGAUUGCCGGCAAAGUGGACUACUUGAAGAAUACAUUCAGGUGGUCUGAUGCCCAAGUGCGCAUUGCUGUGUGUGGCGCUCCGUUUGUGCUGAGGAAGUCCAAGGAAUCUCUGAAGCGUAGGUCUGAGUUCCUAUUCUCUGAAGUGGGACUGGAACCCGUUUACGUUGCUCAUCGACCGAUAAUUCUCUGUCUUAGCCUGGAUGGACGGGUCAGGCCCAGGUACUAUGUUCUGAAGUUCCUCAAGGAAAAUGGAUUGGUAGAUCGCAAGCUGAGCUUCCAUACUGCAGUCAUGAUGACUGAGAAGGUAUUUGUGGAGAAGCUCAUAUGCCCUCACAAGGAAGCUGCACCACACCUCUCUGAAGACUAUGAAACAGCUUGCAAAGGGGAAGUGCCAACUAAUUUCAUAUUUACAUGAACAAAAAACGGCUAUGGAAAUUGGUUACAGUGUAUGGCGCAACAAUGUUAUCAUCCUGCGUGUAAGCUGUUAGUACUUUCCUGUUUCGUUAUUCUUUGCCUAAGAUGAUGUUGGUUGUUUUCUGUAGUAUGCCCGUUACAUGACAGUUUGGCAUUGCUAAAUGCGAACUCCCUAUGACACUGAUAAUUUGGUUCCUGAGCCCAGUAUGUUGAUGUUGCUAUUCCUUACAGAGUAUCUCUGUAAAUGAGAAGUUCAUGGAUAUAUUUGUGUUUCUGACUUCCAUUAAAGAUCAUGGAAAUAGGAUGUGUGGGUGGACCAAUUUUAUGAUGAACCCAGCAUUCACAAAACUAGAAACCAAAAUAGUAAUGCGGUGUCCUUUUCCACCAAAAUGUAUCAGUAUGAUCUGCUUCCAUGCCAAAAUUUAUUUAUCAUGCAUGUUCGUUUUCAUUUCCUUGUCUUUUAGAUUCCACUCUAUGUAAAUUAGUACUAACUGUGUUUAAUAUUUAGGUUAGAUUUAUAGACACUGAGACCUUCCACUGGUUGUCCACUCUAUGUAGGGUUCUGGCUGCAUUUAAUGAGCAACAGGGGUAGCAAUCCCCGCUGCUGUUACCAUGCCAUUAUAUACAAACAUGUUUCCUGUUUGAACACAUGAAAGAUCAGUCAUUUAGAUCUGAAAAAGAAGAGAAAAUUGCAGCAACUACAGGUGAUUAAAUGUUGUUUAAAAGCUGCAAACUGCAGGUGAUUACCGACAAGAUGAGAAAUAGUAUAUAUUCAGUGAACACAGAGUAUAAUAUAUACCUAGGUGAUGAAUAGUAUAUAUUCAGAUAAGAUGGGUAUCAGUACGAAAAAUUCACCCUGCUGUUAAGAUUCAUAAAAUUUUCUUAGAAGAGUUUUACUUGAGCAAAAUUAAUGGUUAAGAUAGCUUGAUACUGUCUUUGGGACACUUAUUUUGGGACGGAGGGAGUAACUUUCGCGGAGAUUAGAAUUAUGUUUAUGCAGAAGUUACAGCUAACUGUCUCAAGUAAAAGAAAGACAAAUUAGUCUGAUGUAAAUUUCUGCUGCACUGAAGCAUAAUAUUGUGAUUCUGAAUUAUCACAUUAAGCAUGAGUAUAUUUUUGUGACUUUGAAAUGACCGACGCUGCAAGUGGUUUGAGGUUUCUAAUGAUCAGUUAAGACUAUUAAACAUUAAUUUUUGUCUGAAGAAGUGGGUGUUUCGAUUGAUGCAUCGGGUCAAAAUUGUAUAUGUGAUUUAGGUUAACAUUGCAAUGACCACUUUUCUUGGAACACAAAACUAAGUUAUUAUUAUAUACUAGCCCCCCAUGAUUCUGUUGUAUAUAAAUUCAGUUUUGUGUUCUGGCUACACAUUUGUUUAGGUGCAGACCUGUCCCUCUGCCUGGUGCCGCCACCGCCGCCUGCGCCAUGCUCGGGCUCCGGCUCCGAGAGUGCAUCCUUUCCCAUAUCCUCUCUUCUCCCUCCAAAGCUGCAUUCUCUCCACUCCGCCGCCUCCUCUCCGCCACAGGGGCCCCCGUUUUCCUGAACCCUAUUAGCUUCGCCGUCGAGGACUACCUCGUCGGUACCUGCGGCCUCACCCGUCCCCAAGCCCCCAAGGCCUCGAAGAAGCUCUCCCACCUCAAGUCCCCCACUAAUCCCGACAACGUCCUCGCUGGCCUCGGCCUCUCCGGCGCCGAUGCCGCCGCCAUCGUCGCCAAAGACCCGCAGUUCCUCUGCGCCAGCGUGGACAAAACCCUGUCCCCCGUCGUCGCCGGGCUCACCCGCCUCGGCCUGUCUAGUCCUGAGAUUGGCCGCCUUGUCUCGGUCGUCCACAAACAAUGUCGUUACAGAUCCAUCAUCUCCAAGAUGCAGUACUAUCUGCCCCUCUUCGGCUCCUGCCACAACUUCCUCAGGGCGCUCCAGCGCUCGUCCUACUCCUACCUUCUCUCGUCGGACCUCGAUAAGUUGGUCAAGCCCAAUGUUGCCUUCCUGAGGGAGUGCGGGCUAGGUGCUUGUGAUAUUGCCAAGCUGUGUAUCCGGGAGCCGAGGAUACUGGCAAUUAACCCGGAGCGCGUCCGGGCAAUGGCGGCAUGUGCUGAAAGACUAGGUGUGCGCCGCGGCUCUGGUAUGUUCAGGCUAGCGCUACAGGCUGUCGCGUUUCUCAGCGAGGAGAAGAUUGCCGCCAAAUUGGACUACUUGAAGAAUACUUUCAGGUGGUCUGAUGCCCAAGUGAGCAUUGCUGUGCGCAAGUAUCCAAAUCUGCUGGGGAAGUCAAAGGAAUCUCUGAAGCGCAGGUCCGAGUUCCUGGUCUCUAAGGUGGGGGUGGAACCCGUGUACAUUGCUCAUCGACCGACAUUGCUCUCUUAUAGCAUGGAGGGCCGACUCAGACCCCGGUACUAUGUUAUAAAGUUUCUCAAGGAAAAUGGACUGCUAGAUGGUGACCUGAGCUUCUUUACUGCGGUCAAGAUGACUGAGAAGGUAUUUAUGGAGAAACUCAUAUCCCCUCACAAGGAAGCUGCACCACACCUUGCUGAAGACUAUGCAACAGCUUGCAAAGGGGAAGUGCCAACUAAUUUCAUAUUUAGAUGGACCAGGAACAGGCUAUGAAAAUCCGUAACCUGUGUAUGGUGCAAGAAAUUUUUCACUCUGUGUAGUAAGUUGGUAACUCCUGCCUUGGUGUUUAGGCCUAACUGGAUGUUCACUAUCUUUUCCAGUGUGUUUGUUACUUGCCAGUUUGCUCAUUGCUAACUCUUGAUGUAACUAGUAAUAAAUUGAUUUCUGAACCCCGAUAUGCUGUUGUUGUCAUUCCUUAGAGAAGAUCCUUCAAAAUAUCAGUCUGGUCUGCUUUUAUGGCAAUUUUUAUCUAGCAUGUUCCCUUUUGAUUUCAUUGUAUUUUCAGUUGCAUCAUAUUUCAGUUAGUACUAAGUUUGUGGUUCAAUGUUCAGUAUUUGGAUUAUUCUUACAAAUAUUAUGACAGUUAGUACUAAAGUUUGUAGUUCAAUGUUAAGUAUUUACAUUAUGCUUAGAUAUAUAUAUUUCUAAUUGAUGUCGGUUCUUUUUUAACCUUUUGUUUUCUUCCUCCUUAUUCAUUCCUAAAUACCACAGUUGACCUUUCUUUAGUUUGGAAAUUCUCAAAUUUCUACAUAUGAAUCAGUCUUAUCAUUUGCACCCCUCAUUAAUUGUCAGAAUAAACCAAUUGAGGUGCCAUGUAUAACAAGCAAAUCCAAUGAAGUUUGAACUAACACUUGUUCUUGUGGACAUAUGAAGAAGAAAAGGCUAUGAGAUUUUCCCACUACAACCUACUGCUUGCACUGAGGGCAAACGUUUUUUUCUUCAUAUCUGUCUACAAUUCAGUGAAAUCGUAGAUUUAUGAAUAUAGUUUGCAACAAAAUUCAUCCCAGUUUUCUGCCUUGAAACGACACUGAGACCUUCGAUCUGUUGUCCAUCCUAACAUAAAAAGUUGCGAAUUGUUUUCUUUAGCAAGGACUAAGAUUUCAGAGUUGCUCGACUAGUACUUGUCUUGCAACCAAAUUAGUGUCGCAACAUGUCCACGAGUCAGUGCCCUGGGCACUUGGAAUCCUUGGUGUUUAGUGAUGUAUGUAUCUGUUCUGAUGGUGUUUAAUGAGAAGCAGGGAUAACUCACCGUGCUACUCUUACCAUGACAUUAUAUGCAAACAUUUUUCCUGUUGAAACACGUGAAAGAUCACAACCAUAUCGAUCUGAAAAAGAAGAGAAAAAAAUGGGAAAUAGUAUAUAUUCAGUAAAAACAAAAUAUUAGUUCAUGAAUUAGUAAAGGUUAUACCUCGGUGAUGAAGUGCACAUCAGCACGGUGACUCCAACUCGCUUGUCAGCCAUUGGAUGUAGUGCGCCUCUGUUCUUUUGCUUGUGCAGAGCGUCAGCAGAUCUGGGCUGCUAUUGCAAUUUUUUGUUCUGCGCAGUGACUUGAACUGAGGUGAGUUAACUUGCUUUUCCUGAAUUUCAUGAUCCNNNNNNNNNNNNNNNNNNNNNNNNNNNNNNNNNNNNNNNNNNNNNNNNNNNNNNNNNNNNNNNNNNNNNNNNNNNNNNNNNNNNNNNNNNNNNNNNNNNNNNNNNNNNNNNNNNNNNNNNNNNNNNNNNNNNNNNNNNNNNNNNNNNNNNNNNNNNNNNNNNNNNNNNNNNNNNNNNNNNNNNNNNNNNNNNNNNNNNNNNNNNNNNNNNNNNNNNNNNNNNNNNNNNNNNNNNNNNNNNNNNNNNNNNNNNNNNNNNNNNNNNNNNNNNNNNNNNNNNNNNNNNNNNNNNNNNNNNNNNNNNNNNNNNNNNNNNNNNNNNNNNNNNNNNNNNNNNNNNNNNNNNNNNNNNNNNNNNNNNNNNNNNNNNNNNNNNNCACUAGGAGGGAUGUACAUGCUUGUGUUGGUCAGUGCUUUAUAUUUACGUGGGGACAAAUGCAUUGGAUAUUUUGUUCAAAUAGGAGGGAUAUAUCUAAUCAUAUUGCCAUUUUCUUGCUGUUUUAGUUGCUGCCACAGUGAAGUCGCUGCAUAGGUAAUGGUCACAUCAGAUUUGAAGAGGAUAGUUUUUCUAUUUGCAUGAUCUUACUUGGAUGUAGUAGAUGUGAAGCUCAGCUCUAGCGUACACUCUGCUGUCGGUAUUUAGAAAAAUGUAAUACCUAUUUCCUAAGAUGCACCGCCCUGAACAUUUUUAGGAGAAUGGCUGCUGUUGAUAAAACCCCAAGAUGAUAGGUGCACUGUUCUGGAUUUUUAGGAUAUCAGCUAUCCUAUGUAUCUUUGAGUUGCUAAUUUCAAAUUAAUAGAAUUCAACAUCUUUAUCCCCAUUUGCAUUCUUGUUCGAGUUGCGUCUGAUUAACCAUGUGUUCCACUUAUGUAAUCAUAUCCGGUCCCUGCUCUCUGUUUCUGUAUCCAUGUGCUCCACCACAAUGGUAACCAUCAGGCCUCGCCGGCAAAUCUUGAGCGUUGUCAAUGGUUUUUGUUCUGAUUGGAGACGAGUGAUAAGGAUUGUGACGACGGGAGUUUUUGGCAGGAAAUUUGCUUGGAUCUCUGGCAACACGAUCCAUAAAUUGAUUGACUCUGCCCAACUUGAGCUGCUGUGCUGUGUUUGUGAAUCACGGACGAUGGAAAAUAGAAGAUGACGGGUGUGGUGAAGAAUUCGAAGGGAUCUCUGAAGCACAGGUCUGAGUUCCUGUUCUCUAAGGUGGGGGUGGAACCCGUGUACAUUGCUUAUCGAUCGGAAAUACUUUCUUAUAGCAUGGUGGACCGACUCAGACCUGGGAACUAUGUUAUCAAGUUUCUCAAUCAAAAUGGACUGCUAGAUCGUGACUUGAGCUUAUAUUCUGCAGUCAAGAUGACUGAGAAGGUAUUUGUGGAGAAGCUCAUAUGUCCUCACAAGGAAGCCGCACCACACCUCGCUGAAGAUUAUGCAGCAGCUUGCAAAGGGGAAGUACCAACUAAUUUCAGAUUUACAUGAACAAAGAAGGGCUAUGGAAAUUGGUUACAGCCUAUGGCACAACAAAGUUAUCACCCUGUCUGUAAGCUGGUACUUCCUGUUUCGGUGUUCUUUCCCUAAGAUGAUGUUGGUUGUUUACUGUAGUAUGCCUGUUACAUGCUAGUUAGUCAUUGCUAAGUGCUAACUCCUUAUGAAACUGAAAAUUUGAUUCCUGAACCCCCAUAUGUUGAUGUUGUCAUUUCUUAGAGAAGAUCUCUGUAAAUGAGAAGUCCAUGGAUAUAUAUUUGAUUCCGACUUCCAUUGAAGAUGAUGCAAAUUGGAUGCGUGGGUGGAUCAAUUUUGUAUUGAAACCACUACCCACGAAACCAGAAAGCAAAAGAGUAAUGAUGUGUUGUUUUCCACCGAAAUGUAUCACCCUGCUGUCCGGAUUCAUAAUUUUUUCUUAAAAAAGUUUUACUUGAGCAAAAUUAAUGGUUAAGAUGCUAGAUUUUUUCGCUGGUAUUAGACUUGUGUUUUACUCAUAAGUUCCAGCUAACUAUCUCGAAUAAAGGAAGACUGACCUAAUUAGACUGACCUAAUUAGUCGCCAAAGACCCGCGGCUCCUAUGCGCCAAAGUGGACAAAACCCUGGCCCCCGUCGUCGCCGGGCUCACCGGCCUCGGCCUGUCUAGUCCUGAGAUUGGCCAACUGGUCUCGCUUGCCCGCACCCGCUUUCGCUGCAGAGCCGUCGUCUCCAGGCUGCAGUACUACCUGCCACUCUUCGGCUCAUUCGACAACUUACUCCGGCUGCUCAAGCGCGAAUCCAACCUUCUCUCGAUCGACCUUGACAAGGUGGUCAAGCCCAAUGUCGUGUUCCUGAGGGAGUGCGGGCUAGGUGAUUGUGAUAUUGCCAAGCUGAGUAUCCGUGUGCCUAGGAUGCUCAUCACCAACCCGGAGCGCGUCCGGGCGAUGGUCGCACGUGCCGAAACAUUAGGUGUGCCCCGCUGCUCUGGGAUGCUCAGGGAAGUGCUACAGGCUGUCGCGUUUCUCAGCAAGGAGAAGAUUGCCGCCAAAGUGGACUACUUGAAGAAUACCUUCAGGUGGUCUGAUGCCGAAGCUUGCAUUGCUGUGCGCAAGUAUCCGAGUGUGUUGAAGAAGUCAAAGGAAUCUCUGAAGCGCAGGUCUGAGUUCCUGAUCUCUGAGGUGGGGCUGGAACCUGUGUCCAUUGCUCAUCGACCAGUAGUUCUCAGUCUUAGCCUGGAGGGCCGGCUCAGACCCCGGUACUAUGUUAUAAAGUUUCUCAAGGAAAAUGGACUGCUAGAUCGUGACCCGAGCUUCUUUACUGCGGUCAAUAUCUCUGAGAAGGUAUUUAUGGAGAAAAUCAUAUCCCCUCACAAGGAAGCUGCACCACACCUUGCUGAAGACUAUGCAACAGCUUGCAAAGGAGAAGUGCCAACUAAUUUCAGAUUCAUGUGAACAAAAAAAUGGCUAUGGAAAUUGGUUACAGUGUAUUGCGCAACAAAGUUAUCACCCUGUAAGCUUGUACUUUGUGUUUCGGUGUUCUUUGCAUAACAUGCUGUUGCCUGUUGCUAAAUGCUAACUCCCUAUGAAACUGGUAAUUUGAUUCCUGAACCUCUAUUUGUUGAUGUUGUCAUUCCUUAGAGAAGAUCUCUGUAAAUGAGAAGUUCCUGGAUAUAUUUGUGUUUCCAACUUCCAUGAAAGAUCAUGAAAAUUGGAUGUGGUGGCUGAACCAAUUUUAUGAUGAACCCAGCAUUCACGAAACCAGAAACGAAAUGAGUAAUGUGGUGUCGUUUCCCAUGAAAAUGUAUCAGUAUGAUCUGCUUCCAUGCCAAAAUUUAUUUACCAUGCAUGUUCAUUCACAUUUCUUUGUCUUUUAGGUUCCACCGUAUAUGUCAAUGAGUACUAACAUUGUUUUCUAUUUAGGUUAGACUUACAGACACCAAGACCUUCUACUGGUUGUCCAUUCUAUAACCUAAAGAGUGGCAAAUUAUUGUGAUUUGUGAUGUAUAUGUGUUCUGGCUGUGUUCAUUGAGCAACAGGGGUAACAAUCCCAGCUGCUGUUUCCAUGCCAUUAUAUACAAACAUUUUUCCUGUUUGAACUCAUGAAAGAUCACAGUCAUUUAGAUCUGAAAAAGAAGAGAAAAUUGCAUCAACUACUUGUAUUGUUUAAAAGCUGCAAACUGCAGCUGAUGACCGACAAGAUGAGAAAUAGUAUAUAUUCAGUGAACACAGAGUAUAUACCUAGGUGAUGAAUAGUAUAAAUUCAGAUAAGAUGGGCAUCAGUACGAAAAAAUCACCCUGCUGUUAAGAUUCAUAAACUUUUCUUAAAAGAGUUUUACUUGAGCAAAAUUAUUAGUUAAGAUAGCUUGAUACUCCCUCUGUCCCAAAUAAGUGUCUCUAAAGUUGAGACACUUAUUUUGGGACAGAGGGAGUAUUUUUAACGGGGAUCAGAAUCAUGUUUAUGCAGAAGUUACAACUAACUAUCUCUCAAGUAAAAGAAAAACAAGUUAGUCUGAUUUAAAUUUUUUGUUGCACUGAAGCAUAAUAUGGUGAUUCUGAAUUACCACAUUAAGCAUGAGUAUAUUUUUCUGACUUUGAAAUGAUGGAUGCUGCAAGUGGUUUGAGGUUUCUAAUGAUCAGUUCAGACUAUUAAACAUUAGUUUCUGUUUGAAGAAGUGGGUGUUUCGAUUGAUGCGUCAGGUCAAAAUUGCAUAUGUGAUUUUGGUUAGCAUUGCAAUGACCACUUUUCUUGGAACACAAAAGUAAGUUAUUAUUAUAUACUAGCACCCCACGAUUCUGUUGUAUAUAAAUUCAGUUUUGUGUUCUGGUUACACAUUUGUUUAGGUACAGACCUGUCCCUCUGCCUGGUGCUAUUAGGUGUGCCCUUUCAGAAACCAGCAUUGUGUUGCACAGCUGUUUAUGUUUGUAUAGUUUAUAACUUCCAGUUACAAAGAUUUAAGUAUCUACAUGUUGCAAAAGAAAAGAGUAUCCACAUCCAGUAGUAUCUAACAUUUAAAUUCAGUUCUUUCUCCAUACUGAUUCACAUCCAGUAUUCAGCUUGUUUCUUACAGCUAGUUCUGCUUUAGUUAUCAACCCCAUCCCUUGGAAGAAAGAAGGUAGCACCAAAGAUUGCAGUUAAUAACUUAAAAUUGUAUCUUCAGUUCACUCUGUUCACUUAAUAUUUCUGUCACGGCUACUACAAACUUCGACCAUGGUAUGUUAUAUGAAAUUAAAAAAAUGGAAACUAUGAAAGAAUGUUGCAAAAGUUUUUUGACGAGCGAUUGCAUGCUCCCUCAGCGGAAGCAGCAAAGCUCGGGGCAUUCUAAGGCAUCAUCACCUGGCACAUUGGCACUGAUGUUUUCCUUGCCAGAAGCAGUUGAGCCAAGGUGGAUGAUGCAGCCCAGGAACAAGUGGUGAAGACCAUUCAUUGAGCGGCCCUAUGCUACCUGGCCGGGCCUCCUUAUGACAAAAAGAUUACUGGAUCUGGCACAUGAUUGCUUCCCCUUGCGCAGUAGUUCGAUUUAUGGUUAAGGUAGCUUGACUUUUUUUCACUGGGAUUAGACUCAUUUUUACUCAGAAGUUCCAGCUAACUAUCUCUCAAGUAAAAGAAAAAAGAACCUUAUUAGUCUGAUCUAAUUUUGCUGCUGCACUGAAGCCUAAUACGGUGACGCUGAAUUACCAUAUUUUCCUUACUUUGGAAGGAUGGACGACUGCAGAUGGGUUGAGUUUUGUAAUGUUCAGUUCUGACUAUUAAAUAUUCAUUUUUGACUGAAGAAGUAGGUGUUUCGAUUGAUGUGUCAUAUAUAUAUAUAUAUAUAUAUAUAUAUAUAUAUAUAUAUAUGAUUAAGGUGAGUGGUGUGUUUCUCAGGUUUACAUUGCAAUGACCACUGUUCCUAGAAACACGAACUGAAUUUAUGAUUAUACACUAGGCCCGUGUGAUUCAGUUUUAUAUAAAUUCAGUUUCUGUUUUGGUACACAUUUCUUUCGGCGCAGACCUGUCCCUCUGUCUGGUUAGUAUGAGGUGCGCCCUUUCAGAAACCAGCAUUGUAUUGUGCCACAACUGUUUAUGUUUAUAUAGUGUUUCUAACUUCCAGCUACAAUGAUUUAAGUAUUCACAUGUUGCAAAAGAAAAGAUUAUCCACGUCCAGUAUCUGACAUAUAAAUUCAGUUCUUUUCUCCACCCUGAUUCAUAUCCAGUAAUCAGCUUGUUUCUUACAGCUAGCUCUGCUUUAGCUAUAUUUUAUUGCAGUUAAUAAUGCAUCUACAGUCCCUUCUAUGUUAUAUGAAACAAAAACAUGGAUAAUGUGAAAACAUGUUUCAUGACAAAUUUAGUGAGCAAUUGCAGGUCUUAGCAAAAGCAGAACCCAAGCGAUGAAAACCGAAGGAUAAAGAAGUUCGGAAGGGGAGGAAACCACAGCCCAGGAGGAGAACCCAAACUCAUAGAAAUAGAGCUAGCCAUAUUCUGAGGGCUCAGAGGGCUCUGUCCCGGCUGGUGUCAUUGAACGCCUGGUACCUAGCCAGAUUCCUUGCCUCCUCCACCGGUGUCGGUCCGAUGCGCCACCCCAUCUUGGGCACGAGGAGGGUCACCGCCGACAACCUUGCCACCGCGGAGUUGGUGACCAUAUCCACAUGGUGAUCGACCCUUGCCAGCACUCUACUGCUAUUGGUGAUAAGCUCCAUGACUCCAUCUGGUGCCGAAGUUGAUGACAGACACAUCGGGUAUUGCGGGACGAUGAGCCACCUUCUAUCAUGCGAUGUCACCCUGGCAUUGGGAGAGCAUGGUGACGAGGUGGCGGUCGUAGCGUGGGAAGAAGCCAAGCGUGGCGGUUGGGGUCUGAGCAUGGAGGGUCACCCCCAACGGUGGUGAGCCAGAGCGGUGUCUGACAAAAACAAAGUGCGUGAGUGUACCUGUAAGAAGCCGAACUCCAUGCCAGCCUGGAUAACAUGGCUGAAUGGUCUCAUCUAAUUAUGUUUCUCCAAAUCAUGGUUGAACGAAUUAUGUGUUGUCAAUUCUAUUUUUUUCCCAUGUUCAGAUUCAAGGAGUGAUUUGGGAAGUAUCAGUAUUCAGUGAUGGGCAUCUUCAGAUACGUGGACAUGGGCAGUGAGCUCAUGCUCUCCUUCCACUAAGAAAGGCAUGUAGCCUCAAGCUCGGCUUACUCUUUGAUUUUUUUUUUUGUGAGAACUGCUCCUCUUUCAACCUGGUGGAUUUGAUAUUUGUUACUCCCUCCGUUCCAAAAUAUAGGAGAUAUAGUUUUUGGCACGGAAAUUAAAGAACAUAUGUGGAGGGAAAAUUUCACAAGUUUUGGGCGAGAUUGCACCUAACUAAUUAACAUGAGAAAAUAGAGGAGCUUGCAUAAUAUCAGGAAAUGUAAUCAAAUCCCUAAAAAAAUUAUCCAAACGAGAGUGGUGGAACGCAAUACACCUUAUAUUUCAGAUUUUUUUUUUCAAAAAUCUAUACACCUUAUAUCAAGGAACGGAGGGAGUAUAAAAAAUCCAUGUACUGUUUUGCUUCUUCCAUAUACUGAUACUUCCCAAAUCACUCCAGCCUUAACUUAAAUAAACAUAAUUUAGUGUCGAAAUUUGAAGCCAAGCUCCAGCCUACUGAAAUGGUAGUGAGAUUCACUGAUCCUUCACAUACCAUGCAUAUUUCUUGGUUUCUUAAAAAAAUAGCAUUCUGUAUAAGCUAAUACUGAUGGACAAAUUUUUAUUGGAUCAGUGACUUGAUUGCUUUUAUUUAGGUCCGAGCCUCCUUGUGUAGUAGAGCGUUACAGCUAUUUAGACACAGGUUUUUUUUUUUGAGUUGUAAUGCCUAAGAUGCAUACUGCCUGAAUCCUUUUAGGACAAUGGCUGCUGUUGGUAUUUCUAGUGCCUACUACAAAAUCAUACACACACAGUUGUGAGUUUUUUUUCAUGAUAUCAGCUGUUGUCUAUAUCUUUUUAGUGGCUGUUUUCAAAUGGAAAAUCAAGGUUGUUGUAUGCUCAUAAGCAGCCUGCAGGUACUAAUUAAUCCCCUUUUUUUUCCUCUGCCUGAGAAGUUAAGAUGAUUUUUUUUGAACUUUGAAUUGGGAGCUAUGUACGUCCCCACGGAUCCUUCUCGUCUUCCACGUGAUUCGAGUCGCCUCUCUCCGUCAGGUACGAACUCGAUCCGCCUCCCCGCAGGAUGAUUCUCUGUUGAUUUCUUUUCCUGUCGCGUCGAUCCGGGCGGAUCUGGGACGGAAUCAGCCGCACCUGAUGCUUGGUCGUUUCAUCGAUUUGAUCCUGUUCGCCCCCGCUCUGUUUGCUUGAUGAUCCAUUCGAUUGGGGAUAAGCAAAGGGGUUCGGGGAUUGAUGAUUUGUUGGGAAGUUAGCCUCUGCUGCUGCAUCUUAGUUGAUCUGAUCUGGAUUUGCAGUUUGAGGUAGGGGUCCAUAAUGUGCGGGCAUCUAGCGAGCUUGUAAGCUUAUGUAGAACUGCUUGGGUAGAUCCAACUAUUCUGUGGUAGUUGCUGGUAUGUAUGGUAAAUUAACCCGAUUAGCUUGCUGUGUAUGAAUAUUUAAGCCGCUUUCUUUCAAUCUGUUCGUUCUGAGCUUUGCAUCACUGGUGUGUGUUCCUUCCAGAUCCUGCACGGACCUCCUCCCUGUCAGGCCCCUCUUGCCGCCCGUCGACACGACCUUCGAUCUUGUUGUGUUGAUCAUGGGUAAGUGGCAAUGCAUUAUAAUGUUGUCAUUGGAUUUCUCUUUUGGGCUUUUAUUUAUCUUUUGAUGUACAAUGUCUACAACUACCCAAAAAAUUAAGCUAUGUGUGACGUGAUUCAGAACUAAGCAUGGUCUAAUGUUUUUAGGGCAAUGACAGGGACCAUUCCAUUUGAAGAGGCUCAUGCUGCCCGGAUUUCGUUAAGCAAGCCAUCUAUGUCCCAAAGUUGAGGACCGUUUGGAGAAGAGGCCACCCAGGUAACCUUAUCCAAGCUCAAACAUUAAUUUAAUCACUAUUUAGUUGUUGUACUUGCGUUCCUAGAUGGAUCUUUUGAGAUUCCACAACUUUGAUAUUCUUACUUGGGAUCAUUUGAUAUGUGCCGUUGAAAAUAACAGAACGGAUCGUUCCUAGAUGAAUUCUUAGCUGAUUUCACUGGGCUUUCUCCCUUUACGCCAAUAUGAAAUAUAUUAGCUGCAGUAUAUAGUCUAGGUUCAUUUUAAUGCGACUAAAUAAGAUAAAAAUACUACCUGCUUAUACCACUCGAGUAUCCACCGUUAGGACGUUAUGUUCCCUGCGACCACAACAUAACCUUUUUGACUUAUUAUCCCUAAAAAAAGCUGACUCUUUUUCACAAGCUGAAAAGACAAUCUGAUCUGCUACAUUUGGUCUGAAAUUUUCUUCUUGUGUGUCCACAUGAUAAAGAGGAUGCCUUUGAUCAAUUGUAAACCACUUAUUUUUCUAGGAUAUAUAGAUUUCUUGAAUUACCCACAAUAUACUUUUAUGUCAUCUAAUAUAUGUCUCCCAGACAAUUUAAACAGAUGCCAAGGAUAUGAUUAGGCGCACAUAUACAAGUAUCUUUAUGACGACACCUGCACCAGUUUUCAUCGUUGUUGUUCUUGCCUGUUGCCUCCCCCCNNNNNNNNNNNNNNNNNNNNNNNNNNNNNNNNNNNNNNNNNNNNNNNNNNNNNNNNNNNNNNNNNNNNNNNNNNNNNNNNNNNNNNNNNNNNNNNNNNNNNNNNNNNNNNNNNNNNNNNNNNNNNNNNNNNNNNNNNNNNNNNNNNNNNNNNNNNNNNNNNNNNNNNNNNNNNNNNNNNNNNNNNNNNNNNNNNNNNNNNNNNNNNNNNNNNNNNNNNNNNNNNNNNNNNNNNNNNNNNNNNNNNNNNNNNNNNNNNNNNNNNNNNNNNNNNNNNNNNNNNNNAGAGACCCCUCUCCUUUCCUUCCAGUUUGUUGGGUUUUGCUUUGUGCCAUCAUUUGAGUGGUCGAUAGGCGCAGAAAGAAAGGGAGGACAGAGUACUUCUCUCCUAAGUUAGUUUUAUAUUUAUUUGUCUGAAUUUUAGUUUAAAUAACACGACACCCAAUGGCAUACAUGACAAUUUCAACUGUUUUUGGGGGCAAAUGACAAUUAUAGUAAAUUAAAAUGACCCCAUUAGUCAUAUCUAUUAUCUCUUUAUGGGUUUAUAUUUCUACGUACUGCCACAAAAAUAUUAAUUGUUUUGCAUAUAUCGGUUGAGUUUAAUUCAGCUUUAGGAAUCAGGACACCCUCGCUCGGUUGGCUCCCACGAGCCGACGAGUGAUUCACAGCUGCGCCGCCGCCCACCUUUGCCCCUCGCCGCGCGCGACGGGGCUUCCGCCUUGUCCGGCAAGCGGCAUCUCAGGACUUGGCCACUAGGUGCGCCUGCGCUUCCUCCUCGCCUGACAGGUGGCGUUCAGGGAUGUGGCCACUGGGUAGGCUGUGAUGCUGGCGUGGUGGUUGCAUGGCAGCGGGGCUGGGCGUGGUCGUCUGAUUCUUGUGGUGGGAGGUUUCGAUGGCUCCUUAAAUCUAGCGUGACAGCGGCCAUGAGCAGUGCGAGCGGUGGGUCCUCUCAUCAUUCGCGUGGGGAUGGUUGCGGGAUCACAGUGGCUCUGUCGGCGGUUAGCGUUCGUCAUUCGGGUGGGGAUGGAGGUGGCGUCCUCCCUUCUCCUGGGUCUGAGCCGGCAGCGCACGGGCUGCACGCGCAGCAACGGUGGACAGCCACCUAGGCAUUUGAAACUGCAGAAAUGAGAUGAUAUUUUUCAGUGAUUUAUUACUCCUUCAUUUGCCCUGAAUUAUACCGUUGGUUUGUCACAAGUCUUCCCUUCCAUCCCUUCUUCCACAGAUUGCAGGUUUCAUCCUGAACAUCCUAAUGAGCAAAUCACAAGACGGCUGAAUGAUCUCAUCUAAUUAUAUUUUUCCAAAUCAUGGUUGAACGAAUUAUGUGUUGCCAGUCCCAUUUUUUCCCAUGAUUUGGGGUAUCGGUGUUAGUGUUCAGUGAUGAGCCACUGCAGUUGUAUUGCACCCAUUCCAUCUCCAGAUACGUGUACAUGAGCCAGCGAAGUGAGAUCAUGCUCUCCGUCCACUAAGAAGGGCAUGUAGCCUCAAACUCGGCUUACUCUUUGAUUGUUUUUUUUUCCUUAGGAUUGCUCCUCCUUUUACCUGCUGGAUUAGUAAGAAAUCCAGGUAUUUUAACAGGAUUUAAUUUUUCUUCUUUUAUUUAUUGGUUAAUUUUUAUUGGUAUAUUCAUAGCAGAAGUAGCCAAGAUGGCCAAUACAACGCCUUUCGGUGAAGUGCUACACCAAGAAGUUAACACUCACCUCCACCAAGACAACACCGGACACAACUCGCCUGCACGAACUCAAGCCAAACAAUGACGAAGAGAACGAACACAGAGCACACAAGCCGAGUCCCAACCGAACCGAGCAUCUCACGGCACGACAAAAACACCAAAGCAAACUGGAUCAAUGCACUCUCCACUCAUGGCGCCUAGGAGGUUGGCAGGCGGACAGCAGGAGCUAGCCUAGCUCGAUGAAGACGCCAUAGAUGAGGCGUCGAUGAUGAAGUACAUAGCACCCCGUAUGCUCAUGGCAGUAGCAACAACCAACCCAAGACAAACCCCAAGCCUCACCGUCACCUACACCAGUUACUCCUCCAGAAGACAUCCCUGAUCACCCAGGCAACACCUUCAAGAAGGGGACGACGCCGUGACGUCGCCACUGCCUAGCCCGACGAAAAUCAUCAAUGCAGUUUUCCAUAUCAUAGGACAUCUCUCUCAUGUGGUUCCUCCAAUUCUUGGCUGUGGGAUCGAGCUUAUCCAUGAGCUCCAUCUUGUCAAGCAGAGCUUUCAUGGCGUUGAGCUCAUCCCUGAGGAAGGAGGCCUGCUUCUUCACCGGCGUGAGCUGCUUGUACUCCUCGCCAAGCGGCUUGGUGAGUUCCCCGAGCAGAGGGCUCAACACUCCCGUUGUUUCACUCAUUGCCAUGUUGGUUUGUAGUUUGUACUGCUCCUUUGCCUCCGGCGCCUCUUUGGAACGAGAGAGAUGAAGUGGGUGGGCUAGCCGAGAAACUCGACACAGGAGGCUCACGCCAGCCGCUAUUGUCGUAGCCUCCCAGAAACUUCCCUCCAGAAUUCCUCGUCACCAAACCUGGAGAGCAAGGUGAGGUCGACGCGACCGUGACGUUCCUGGCUGCCGGCGCCGUCGUUGCGGGCAGGGGAGAGAUGGAGAAGAGGCUCGGAAGAGAGGGAAGGGAAGGCUCGUUGGUGCGGUGUACUGUUGGGUGGGGGUGGGUUUGGGCGGAGAGAAGCUCAGCAGAGACUGAACGGGAGAAUGGGAUUGAGACAGACGGGGAGAAGGACUUAGAUGAACAGCAAAAUCCAAAAAAAUAGUAAACUAACUCAAAAAAUUCUGAUUUUUCUGUCAACAAACAUUGACGAUUUUUCUACACACAUGCAAAUUUUCGAUUGGAAUCACAUUUGUGGAUGCGUCAGCAAAAGAAACAAAAUCAAUGCUUCCAAAAAACAUUUUUUUAGCAUCAAUUUUAAUUUUUUUACGGCACCUCCACAAAUUUGAUUUCAUCAUGAAAAUUUACACGCAUAUAGAAAAACGUCAAUAUUUAUUAACAAAAAAAUUCAGAUUUUUUUAAGUCGAAUUAUACUGUUCACCCAGGAGCAUGUGAGCUCGAGCUCACAUACUACAUGUUGGGUAUUUUUGCAAAUAUAAGGCGAUUCCAUUUCAACUCAUUGAGAGUAGAGAGCCGUGCGUGUAACAGUGAGUGUGAGAUUUUUCCUUAGAGCAACUCUAAUGCGCCGACGCAAACAGUCUGUGCGUGUUUGUUUAGGUCGAAUCGGACGCAAAAUGAGCGGGCGCAAAUGGACCAGCGUCUGCAUUUUGUCAACGCGUGACCCAUUUCAGGCCUAAAUUUGGGUCGGGUUUGCAUCGACGCGGACACACAGCAGACCCGUAUGAUGCCCGCCUCUUGUCCUCCCCUUGGCCUGCCAGUCGGUGGCACAUUGGCCAUUCCGCUUUCCUCUAUCGACAACCACCACACUCGGUCGGCCCCCUCGCCUCCGCUGCCAAAGCUGUCGGGGAGGGCAAUGUUGAGAUCAAUGACCAUACUAUAACAAAAGAUACUACCUAGCUGAUGAUAUCUAUCCUCAGUGGACUACUUUUGUGAAAAUAAUCCCCAACCCGAUAGGAGACACUAGUAGAAAACGGGGCAAAGGUCACAGGGCAGUUUUCACAUUAGCCCCGGUUCAGUCACGAACCGGGACUAAUGUGAGCAUUGGUCCCGGUUCGUGAGCCCAGGGGGCCGGCCGGGGCCUCGUGGGCAUUGGUCCCGGUUCGUAUGGACCCUUUGGUCCCGGUUGGUGGUACAAACCGGGACCAAUGGGCCACGCUCCUGGCCCACCACCCUUUAGUCCCGGUUCAUACCACAAACCGGGACUAAAGGGCUGGUCCUAGUUGCGGCCAGUGUUUAGUCCCACCUCGCCAACCGAAGGGGACUCACACCAGUUUAUAAGCCCGUCCCUCUCUGCCUUUUAAAGUGAAAAUAGAUGCCCUUAUACAGGGAAUUUGACCUAAAUUCAUAGUAAAUUUCAUAAAAAUUUAUUAUGAAUUUAGGUUGAAUUUUCUCUAUAAGCGCAUCUAUUUUCAUUUUUUUUAUUUACAAAAUAAAUAAACCUUAAUAAAAUAAAUAAAACUAAAUAAACCUUAAUAAAAUAAAAUAAAAUAAACUAUAGUAACUACAAUAAAUAAACCUUAAUAAAUUAAGUAAAAAUAGCAGCAGUAAAAUAAAUAAAAAUAGCAGCAGUAAAAUAAAUAAAAAUAAAAUGCGUCUGGAAGAGAUUGUCCGUUUUGUACACGAAGUGCAUCCAGUUUAUGCCGUAACCCUCUCAACUUUCUUGCACAUGCUAUGUGGAUGAAAUGAUGAUAUCAUGCCAACUUUCAACCUUUUCAGAGUUCAUUUGAAAUGCAUUUCAAUUUUAGGGUCUUAUAGCUCAAAAUAAUUAGUAAAUGCAUGAAAAAUAACAAAUGAAGUCAGAAAGGAUUGAAAAAUGAUGAUGUGGCUUUGAAUGGUGCAUUUUGAACACACAAAAAGUCAGGAGUUCAAAUAAGUUUUAAAAAAUGAAAUCCCUUUGUAACAGACGAGUUUCCGGAUGAAAUCCUGAUACUUUGAAAGAGAUUGUCCGUUUUGUACACGAAGUGCAUCCAGUUUAUGCCGUAACCCUGUCAACUUUCUUGCACAUGCUAUGUGGAUGAAAUGAUGAUAUCAUGCCAACUUUCAACCUUUUCAGAGUUCAUUUGAAAUGCUUUUCAAUUUUAGGGUCUUAUAGCUCAAAAUAAUUAGUAAAUGCAUGAAAAAUAACCAAAUGAAGUCAGAAAGGAUUGACAAAUGAUGAUGUGGCUUUGAAUGGUGCAUUUUGAACACAUAAAAAGUCAGGAGUUCACAUAAGUUUUAAAAAAUGAAAUCCCUUUGUAACAGACGAGUUUCCGGAUGAAAUCCUGAUACUUUGAAAGAGAUUGUCCGUUUUGUACACGAAGUGCAUCCAGUUUAUGCCGUAACCCUCUCAACUUUCUUGCACAUGCUAUGUGGAUGAAAUGAUGAUAUCAUGCCAACUUUCAACCUUUUCAGAGUUCAUUUGAAAUGCUUUUCAAUUUUAGGGUCUUAUAGCUCAAAAUAGUUAGUAAAUGCAUGAAAAAUAACAAAUGAAGUCAGAAAGGAUUGAAAAAUGAUGAUGUGGCUUUGAAUGGUGCAUUUUGAACACACACAAAGUCAGGAGUUCAAAUAAGUUUUAAAAAAUGAAAUCCCUUUGUAACAGACGAGUUUCCGGAUGAAAUCCUGAUACUUUGAAAGAGAUUGUCCGUUUUGUACACGAAGUGCAUCCAGUUUAUGCCGUAACCCUCUCAACUUUCUUGCACAUGCUAUGUGGAUGAAAUGAUGAUAUCAUGCCAAUUUUCAACCUUUUCAGAGUUCAUUUGAAAUGCUUUUCAAUUUUAGGGUCUUAUAGCUCAAAAUAAUUAGUAAAUGCAUGAAAAAUAACAAAUGAAGUCAGAAAGGAUUGACAAAGGAUAAUGUGGCUUUGAAUGGUGCAUUUUGAACACACAAAAAGUCAGGAGUUCAAAUAAGUUUUAAAAAAUGUAAUCCCUUUGUAACAGACGAGUUUCCGGAUAAAAUCCUGAUACUUUGAAAGAGAUUGUCCGUUUUGUAACAUGCCAUUGGUGGCACGAACCGGGACCAAUUCCACCCUUUGGUCCCUGUUGGUGCCACGAACCGGUACUAAUGAGGCUGUGGCCCCACGAGCACCUUUAGUACCUGUUCGUGGCAUGAACCAGUACUAGAGUUUCUUACUAGCUAAGCAGUUUUUUAGUCCCACCUCGCUAGCUGAGAGGCACUAGGAGCGGUUUAUAAGCCCUGAGUGUAGAGACAAUGAAGAAGAGGCGCAAUGCUCACGUUGCUUAGCUUCAAGCCUUGAGGAAUAAGGUAGACUGCAUCGAGCUAUGUGCAGUGCAGUCUACACUAUUCCGAAAGGCUUGAAGCAAAUCAACGCGCAUUGCGCCUCUUUUUUAUUUUUAAUCAUUAAAAGCAAAAAGAAUUUUCAUAAAGAACUUUUUUUGAUAGAAACUUUAAUAGCAGAAAGAAUUAUCAUAAAGUAAAAUAACUAAGUAAUUAGAAACAAAAUAAAAUAAAAUAAAUAAGUUUUUUGUUGUAAGUAGAAAUAAAACAAAAUAAAUAUAGCAAAAAAAAUAAAAAAACUAAAUACAGCAAAAAGAAUUUUCAUAAAGAACUAAUGGCACUAAUAGAAAGUUUAUAUGUUUUCUAAAACUAAUGGCACUAACAGACAGUUUAUAAUUUUGCUGACCUAAAAGCAAAAAGAAUUAAAAAAUAAAGCAAAAAACAAAAGAAAAUAAAUAAUGCAAAAAAUUUAAAAAAUGCCACCUAUUGGGCCACCACGGCGUGAAUACGACUAGAAACCCAACCUGGGCCAGGAUUCAGGCCCGCAGAAGGCCCAAUAGGCCAACAGACAGCACAGUGUGACAUUAGGCCCAUAAGCCUGCAUUUGAGAGGAGCUCGAGAGGGCAGCCGCAGUGGAGCUUAUAAACCACUCCGAGCCCCUCUCAACUAGCGAGGUGGGACUAAAACUUUUGGCCGCGGGCAGCGCAAGGCCUUUGGUCCCGGUUGGUGGCACCAACCGGGACCAAUGCCCCCCUUUAGUCCCGGUUGGUGCCACCAACCGGGACCAAAGGCCUCUGCUUCCCGCCCUUUGCGCUGGUGAAAAGAGGCCUUUAGUCCCGGUUGGUGGCANNNNNNNNNNNNNNNNNNNNNNNNNNNNNNNNNNNNNNNNNNNNNNNNNNNNNNNNNNNNNNNNNNNNNNNNNNNNNNNNNNNNNNNNNNNNNNNNNNNNNNNNNNNNNNNNNNNNNNNNNNNNNNNNNNNNNNNNNNNNNNNNNNNNNNNNNNNNNNNNNNNNNNNNNNNNNNNNNNNNNNNNNNNNNNNNNNNNNNNNNNNNNNNNNNNNNNNNNNNNNNNNNNNNNNNNNNNNNNNNNNNNNNNNNNNNNNNNNNNNNNNNNNNNNNNNNNNNNNNNNNNNNNNNNNNNNNNNNNNNNNNNNNNNNNNNNNNNNNNNNNNNNNNNNNNNNNNNNNNNNNNNNNNNNNNNNNNNNNNNNNNNNNNNNNNNNNNNNNNNNNNNNNNNNNNNNNNNNNNNNNNNNNNNNNNNNNNNNNNNNNNNNNNNNNNNNNNNNNNNNNNNNNNNNNNNNNNNNNNNNNNNNNNNNNNNNNNNNNNNNNNNNNNNNNNNNNNNNNNNNNNNNNNNNNNNNNNNNNNNNNNNNAUAUGCAAAUGUUUGUAUGUUCAUAUGCAAAGAAUGUAUCAAUUUUUUCAUAGAAUUUUUAUGAUUUUUUCUGUUGUAAUUUUGUUCAUAGAAUUAUUAUGAUUUUUUUUGUUCAUAGAAAUUGUGUAUGAUCAAAGUCAUUUAUGUAUGUUCAUAUUUAGAAGAAAAAGAAGGAGAGAAAAAAAGAAAAUAAGAAGGAGAAGAAGAAGAGAAGAAGAGAAGAAGAGGAGAGGAAGUAGAGGAGAAAUAAAUAAGAAGAUGAAAAAGAAGAAAAAAAAAGAGUAGAAGAAGAAGAAAUAGAGGAGAAGAAGAAGAAAUAGAAUAAUAUAUUAUUCUAUUUUUUCUUCUUCUUCUCUAUUCCUUCUUCUUCUCCUCUUUUUUUCUUUUUUUUCUUCGAUCUCCUCCUCUAUUCCUUUCUUCUUCUCCUCUUUUUUUGCGUCUUCUUCCUCUUCUUAUUUUUUAUCGGGUAUGUCGUUGUCGAUAUAUGUACCCCCCUCCCCGAUAACUUUUAGUAAGUACUACCUAGAAAGUGUUUAAUAGAAUUAGUUAGAAAAAUAAUAGAACUAGUUAAACUAGCUAGUUUAUUUUUAGUAAGUACUACUUUAUUCUAUUUAUAGUAAGGAAAUUAAUAGAACUAGUUUGUUUUUUUAGUUAAAGCAAUUAUUCCCGCAUCGACGUCGACGAUGCCUAUCCCGCAUCCUCGUCGUCGACUCGGCGGAGGAGGCCGGCUUGAUCAGAGGGGCCAUGUCCGGGACUGGGCUCCGCCGGGCUGGUUUUGGGAGGUGCUACCUUCCGGUGGGCGUAGGUUGGUGAGGAACCAGCCCGUCGUUGAUCCGAUCCUUGUUUGGUGGCGCUCGCGUGGGCCAGUGACGGUGCCGAGGCUUCCGGACACCGCGGAGGAGGUACGUCACCGUGUCAGCGAGGAGGACCAGCACGUCCGUCGCUACAUGGUUGCGUUGGAGGGCAGGUUCGACAGUACCUGGCAGGUUCUUCAGGGAUCUCACUGGAGCUAUGAUCCUGUGAUGGUUCCGUCCCUUUGGGUGUCCACCGCCCGCGCCGAUGUCCGUCGGGCGCUACUGUUCUAGCUGUACUAGCGAUGCUAUAUGUAUGAUAGUAUUCGAGGUGUAUUAGUGAUAAUAUUCGGCGAUGUACGGACGCAUGGAGAUGAUGUAGUUUUGCUUAUAAUUGAAUGCAUCCUAAUUUGAAUACUACUUUAUUUUGUGAUUUGAUUUUGCUUAUUGAAUGCUCAAAGUGGAAAACUACUCCGAUCCUACUUUGAAUGCUAAAAUUGGAGAGCACUAUGAUUAGUUGAUAGCUUAUAGGGUUUUGUUUUCGCAGAAAUCUAGGAGCCCCCCGGCCCCUCCAUCAUCCCCGCCGUGGUCCCCGUCACCGCCCCCUCCGACAUCGAGGUGAGACCAGCCAAAUCCUCUUUUAGAAAGAUAAUUAAACGAUAUUUCGGGUUGACUGUAAGUCUGUCGAGUCUCCACCAUAUAUGAGAGGACGAAGAAUCCCGACUGUGUUGUCGUGGGGGUAGCUUCUCCUUCGUUCCCGUGUGCUAGACAAUUUGGUGUAAUGCACUCGAGAACGAAAGGAGGAGCUACCAUCACCGACGGUCGCAAAUGUCAGAGAGGAAUCAGUGAGGGAGAGUUCCACCAUAUAUAUAUGAGAGCACGAAGAAUCCCGACUGUUGUCGUGGGGGUCGCUUCUCCUUUGUUCCCGUGUGCUAGCUAGACAUUUUGGUGUAAUGCACACGGGGACAAAGGGAGGAGCGACCAUCACCAACGGUCGAAUGUAUACACCACGUGAGCUGAGAGUUUUCAAGAAAAGACUCGACAAACCGAUAGUCAACCCGUGAUGAAUAAUAAUGAUCUAACUUAGGUUUUUUAGUACAUAUAUUUAAUUGUAGAUGUUUAAUAUUUGAAUUAUAUAUGAACAUAGGAAAUGUCGUACUCGGACGACGAAAGUCUCUCGGGGGAGUGCGACUGGUGCCACGACGACCGAGGUCAGUGCGACAGGCCUCACCUGGACGAAGAUCGGCGCUUCAGUAUUAAGCUGGAGGAGACGUUCGAUGUUGAAACGGUACGCAACGACGACAAGUGUUAUUUUUUCGUAAUUAAGCACGACUUCAACUAUUUCAACGUGUACUUUUCAUCUUUUACAAUUCAGCUAGCUUAUCCCAUGCCAUGCAAGACGCUACGUCUUGGAGAGGAUGGGUUUUGAAGACCAUGAAAGUAUGGAAACAAAGAAAAUUCACCUAAGGACCCAUCAUGAUAUAGAUUUUGAAGUAAAGCUGUAUAAUUCUGAGAGCGUAACCCAUUUUGGUUGCAAAAAUUGGGAAGCAUUUUGCAAGAUGUAUGGUUUUGAUGAGGGUAUGCUUGUCACCAUGGAUCUUGGUGAUCCUGACAUCGAGCAAGACAAUAUGGACAUUUGGGUCCUUGUUGAUACGCCUCCAAUUCUACCGCUAUGUGAGUUUCUCAAACAUAGUUAUUAGCUAAUUUAUAUUGUUCAUUUCAAAAUAGUUGACAGCUUAUUUUCAUUGACAACUUAUUUUGAUUGUUCAAACAAUAUGCGGAACAUGAUAGACAGAACCUACUACACCGAUGGCUCUGAGUUAACUUAUAAGGAGAAAACUCAUCUGGUCGGAUUUUGUACUGAUAUUGAGAAUUACAAUAUCUACAAUCAAACUCCUCAUCAUUAUGGUCCUCCAUACGUGCCACUAGUGCACGUGGUGAACUACGGUAGCUACUAUGGAGAUACCCUGGUAAGAUUUCUUACUAUUACGACAUCCGUGCAUAUUUUGCAUAGUUCUAAAGCUAGUGCAUUAUCAUUGCUAACUAUGAAGUUAUUACUAUGUUUUUCAACAGAUAAUCCCAGAGGAUUGUGUGCCUCAUUUGAUGUAUCAGAAUGGUAGGCUUGAUGUUUUGAAUAUACAACCAGGUCAUCCUACGAAUCUCAACUGUCCAUACCGGAUUUCUAAAAGAAGUGGAGACAUGCAAAUCAAAGAAUGGAAAAAAUGUAUGGACAGUCGCAAGGAGCUUCUUGGAAGCAAAAGGAAGCGAGGCGCAAGAAUUGGAGACAGGAUGAUCUCCAUUCUCCAUAAUGGAGAGUCAGUGUCUAUAUUGUUUUAUGCUAUUUUACCUUAAAGAGGGUAUUUCGGUCCUACCUAAUACUGAUGAUCAUGUGCUAAGAACAAUUAAGUAGGGUUGGUUCGAUGACUGUGAGGAUGAUGAUCGAUCGUAUGACUUGUUAUUAAUAACGAGUAGAAGUUGUAUGAUGAUGAUUAGUAGGACUUGUUAUUAUAUAUGAUGAUGCAUGAUGCGUGCAUGAAGAGUUAUUAUAUAUCAGCGGGUGAAAUGAACAUGGAUUGGAUUGAAGUGAAGGCAACAUGCAUGUGGUGCGUGUCGAAAGUAGUACAAUCCAAACUUGAUCAAGUCCGGAUAAGUAUUAGUUUCGACAUGCACCACAUGUUGCCUUCACUUCAAUCUAAGCCAUGUUUAGGCAUAGCAGUACGUAGCGUUGGUAAACCAAGCACGGAGAUAUAAGAGAGGACACUUCUCUCUAAUAGCUACCUAAUAACAACCUAAAUUAACCCCCCAAAACCCCCAAACCCCCCCCNNNNNNNNNNNNNNNNNNNNNNNNNNNNNNNNNNNNNNNNNNNNNNNNNNNNNNNNNNNNNNNNNNNNNNNNNNNNNNNNNNNNNNNNNNNNNNNNNNNNNNNNNNNNNNNNNNNNNNNNNNNNNNNNNNNNNNNNNNNNNNNNNNNNNNNNNNNNNNNNNNNNNNNNNNNNNNNNNNNNNNNNNNNNNNNNNNNNNNNNNNNNNNNNNNNNNNNNNNNNNNNNNNNNNNNNNNNNNNNNNNNNNNNNNNNNNNNNNNNNNNNNNNNNNNNNNNNNNACCAACCGGGACCAAAGGCCCUCCUGCCUGGGCUCCCCGCACCGGCCACGUGGACGGCCUUUAGUCCCGGUUCGUGUAAGAACCGGGACUAAAGGGCUAGGGCAUUAGUAACGACCCUUUAGUCCCGGUUCCUGAACCGGGACUAAAGGCCCUUAUGAACCGGGGUAAAAGCCCCUUUUCCUACUAGUGAGAGAAGAGGAGAAGAUUUACCCAAGCACAAGAGAGUGCUCGAAAGGAUGUGGAGCAUGCUUUCGGUGUUCUUCAAUAUUGAUGGGGCAUUAUUCGGUAUCCUGCUAGAAUUUGGAGCACCAAGAAGUUAUGGGAGAUGAUGAUUGCUUGUGUGAUCAUUCACAACAUGAUCGUAGAGCAUGAGCAUGAGAACGAAAUCUACUCCUCUUUCGAGCACUCUCCCCGACAUGAUAGGAGAGAAGAAUGGGAUUGAGACAGACGGGGAGAAGGACUUAGAUGAACAGCAAAAUCCAAAAAAAUAGUAAACUAACUCAAAAAAUUCUGAUUUUUUUGUCAACAAACAUUGACGAUUUUUCUACACACAUGCAAAUUUUCGCAAUGGAAUCACAUUUGUGGAUGCUUCAGCAAAAGAAACAAAAUCAAUGCUCCAAAAUGCUUUAAAAACAUUUUUUGGAGCAUCGAUUUUGUUUUUUUAUGGCACCUCCACAAAUUUGAUUUUUAAAACUCACAUUCAACUGCAAGAUUGAAAAACAAAAUUGAAAAAUAAAUAUGUGAACUCAUCCUCCAGAAGCUCCAGUGCAUAGCGGACGGCUAAAGUGUGCGGAGAAUGUCAAGAGAGGGCGGGGUAGACCGAAUUUGACAUGGGAGGAGUCCGCUAAGAGAGACCUGAAGGAUUGGAGUAUCACCAAAGAGCUAGCUAUGGACAGGGGUGCGUAGAAGCUUGCUAUCCAUGUGCCAAAGCCAUGAGUUGGUUGUGAGAUCUUAUAGAUUUCACCUCUAGCCGACCCCAACUUGUUUGGGACUAAAUGCUUUGUUGUUGUUGUUGUUGUUGUUGUGAGUGAGCAUAGCCGAGCAACAAGCAGGCGAGCACAAAAGCAUGCAGCCGAGCGACGAGCGGCCGAGCACAGUCGAGCAGCCUAAUGGUCCGGCCCAAGUGUCGCGCCAGUUUCUCGACCAGCGCUAAGGGUGUGUUUGGUAGCAUGUAUGGACCUAGCCUAGUUGUUCUUCUUUCAUCCAUGCUGAGUGUAGACAUGCUGAGUCCAUGCAGUUGCUCUUGUUUGGCAGUGAUGUAUGAACUGAGACAUGCUGAGCUGAUACUUUGUUUGGCAGCCUGCAUUUGUUUAUACAUGCUGAACAAUUUUUUUUGAAAAUUUAAAAUUCUAAACAUAUUUUUAAAAAUUGAACAUAUUUGAAAUUAUGAUUUUUUUAGAAAAAAUAAUCAAAUUUUGAAUAUUUUAUAAAAAUUAAAACAAAAUUUGAAUUUUUGAAUAUUUUUUGAAAAAAUACAAAAAAUGUUUUUUUAAUUCUGGACAUUUUUUGAAAAUUUAAACAAAUUGAAUUGCUGAACUUUUUUUUUUGAAAAUUUACACAAUUUUGAAAUUCUAAACAUUAAAAAAAAUGAAAUUCUGGAUUUUCUUAAAAAUUUGAACAAAAUUUGAAAUUCUGAACAUUUUUUAAAAAUUUAAACAUAUCUAGACGUGGUCUGGUGGGUGGAGACGAGGGUCAGGGCCAGCAUGGCUGCCUCCAUGCACCUUGUCUGGGGUACCCUGUGCAUGAGAUGGGCAUGGCUGAGGACCCUUUUAUGCAUCAGAUGGGCAUAGCUCAGGUGAGUCCAUACACCCUACCAAACAAGCAAAAGUGGGUCGGAUUGAAAACUUUUGCCCUCAUGCACCCUACCAAACACACCCUAAGGAGUUGUUUGGAUAUCGAGAAUUAGAUGCUAGAUUUUGGAAAACCAAUUUUAAGAUAAUUUUAGGGAAACCAGUUUUAAUUAGUCAUUCUUUUAAGAUAAGUAUAUACAAUUCCUUGAACAACAAAGAAGAGUAAAAUGGCCCUCCGGCGUGCGGCUGUUGAAGCCGUCAUCAUGGGCACCGAGGAGGUCCCGUUGCUUGCGCCUGGAGCAACACGUUGCCGUCGACGUUUUCGUAAUCCUCGCCAUGGGCGCUGAGGAGGCCGAUCUGCUCGAGUCGAGAACAACGCGUCGCCGUCGAUGGUGUCGCAACCAUCGCCAUGGAUAUUGAGGAGGUCGCGCCGAGAACAACAUGCCGCGUCCAUGGUGUUGCAGCCGUCACCAUGGGUGCCUACUGACGAGGUGGUCGUGCUGCUCGCGUUGAGAACAACACGCCGCCGUCGAUGGUGUCAGGUAGAUGGUGUCGCAGAGGUUGCUAUGGACGUCUGGAACAACAUGCCGAUGUAAGGUUCUAGAAUACUUUUUUUUAGGACGGGCUCUAGGAUACAUGACCAAAAUUCAAGAAAAUCACAUUCAUUUUGACCAAAACGCAUGAAAAUUUCUCCCUCGGCCGCACUGUUUCAACCCCUAAGGCCCUAAAACAUGAAGCUUUUUUUUUGGUUUUGAGCGAUAACACAUGAAGCUGCAAGGCCGAAAGUUGACGACAAAAGAUUCCAAUAAUAUGACAACAACGCAGCCCAGUGCCCACCCGCACGACAGCAAACCAAAAAUUGCAGCCCAUUCGCAUCGGCCACAUUUUCCCCUUUAUCCUGACAGACGACACAAAAAUAUCUCCGUCGCUGCCGCCGCCGCCGGCAUGCUCCGCCUGCGAGAAUCCAUUGUUUCCCAUCUCCUCUCUUCACCCUCCGCCCCUGCCAUAUCCCCACUCCGUCGCCUCCUCUCCGCUGCCGCGGCCGCCAUUUCUCCGAACCCCAGUGGAUUCGCCGUCGAGGACUACCUCGUCGAUAUCUGCGGCCUCACCCGACCUCAAGCCCUCAAGGCCUCCCCGAAGCUCUCCCACCUCAACUCCCCCGCCAACCCCAACGCCGUCCUCGCCUUCCUCUCCGGCCUAUCAUGUGUUCAGAUUUUAAGGGUCAUCUGGGAAGUGGGAUUUGCCGGCACUCCACCUUCAGAUACGUGGACAUGGGCCAAUGCAGCCUGCCAAGAUGGUGCUCAGUGAGAUCAAACUUCUUCCACCAAGAAGAGCAUGCGGCCUCAGAGCAUAAUUGGUUACUACUUGGUAGGUUACCGAGUUGUCUUGCCUAUCUCACAUAUAGUUGCCAAUAGUUGGCAAGUAUUGGCAAUGCCAACUUUUGGCUAGCCAAAUAUUCUCUGCUCACACUUUUUUGUUGUUGAGAAUUACUCCUCAAUUUAUCUGGUAGAUUUCCUUUUGUUAGUAGGAAAUCGAUCUAUUUUAAUGUGAUUUAGAUAUGCUUCUUCCAGUCAUUGGUUGAUUUCGUUACUGAAAUCUGCACUUCUCUUUGUGUCAUUGCUUCAUUCCGUCCAAUAGUUUGUAAACAACUGGAACAAUAUCAUGGAAAAGAUUAGUGUCCUGGUUAUAUUGUGCAUCUCUUUUAUGUGGUCCUGUUUUUUGCUUGCCGUCUUGUUUACUGAUUCUUUGUUAGUGCUCCUUUGCAUUGCAAUCUGGUGCUUCGGUUGUCAGAUGCCGCUGUUUGUGAUCUUGUAACAGAUUUCCGCGGUGUUGCUUAAUUUGCCCCUGGUGUUUUCUGUUGUUUCCAUACAGGUUAAAUAGGGAGUACGUACUUGUACAAAUGAAUUUACUGUUUUAAUCCGUUAAAAAAAACUGUUUUAAUUGCUGCCACAGUAAAGUUGCUGUGUAGGUAAUGGUCACAGCAGAUUUGAAGAGCAUAGGUUUUCUAUUUGCAUGAUCUUACUUGUAUAUAGUAGACCUGGAGAUAGACAGCCUUGGGCACGAAACUGGAGAGUGCCUUAAUACACACAAGCUAGUGAAUUCCACGGUCUUAAUUUUCAUCCGAAUUUUAAUCAGUGGUGUUGAUAUUUGAAGCUAGGCUCGGGCUUACUCAAAUGGUAGUGAGGUUCGGUGAUCCUUUACAUACAUUGCAUAAAUGCAGAAUGGUAGAUACACUGUUAUGGAUUUUUAGGAUUUCAACUGCUGUUUAUAUCCCUGAGUGGCUAAUUUCAAAUUCAAAUCGAGAUCCAGAUAGUUACCUGCUCAUAAGCUGCAGGUACUAAUUGCCAUCUUCAUACUGGGUCUGUUGAGUUGUGAGCUACUCCCUCCGUCCCAUAAUGUAAGACGUUUUUUGACGCUACACUAUGUGCCAGUUAUCUCUGAUUUUUUUCUGUAAUCAUCCAAUAUUUUUGCUCCGCCACCUUGCUUUACAUUUCCACUGCAGCAGUGACCAUCAGACCUCGCGGGCAGGAAAUUUCCAUGUGUUUUUGGCAUUGUGAAUGGUUUUGUUCUGAUAUGAAACGUGUAACCGUAGUCCUGAAAGUUUCUGAAAUUGUUGCUACUUUAACACUGUCUGUUUCUUGCGUUGCUAUUCUGAACUUUAUUAUUUCUUUGUAAAUGUGAUGCUCUUUCUGAACAUUUCCAAAGCAUUAGUCCGUGUUAAUUUGCUAAGGAGGUGUAGUAUAUUCAGGGGCGCAGCAAAGUUCCAAACUUAAAUGCAACAACACCCAGCAUCGAAACAUUCAGUGCCUCAACAAAUUCAGCUUAAUUAGUGUCGCACAUACAUUUACAAACUCUUACGCAGACUGAGAUAUGUAGUAUCCAUUGAAAAACAAAACUCCAGAAACUAAAUAAACAGAGGAAAUAAUAUAGUGAUAAUAAAUACACAAGGGAAAUGAUACUGAUGAAAACAUAAAUUAAGACAGAAAUCAAUCAAGUUAGAGACUGCAUUCUAACAGAAGGUUGUCUUGGGUGCACCAGGGCUGCGCUCUUGAAGGCAGACUCCACAUCAACAAGCACAUGUUGAAUUUUUUUGCUGGAGUCCAUGACGCUGUUGAUGAGACACAUAGGGAUGUCCUGGAGGCAGGGCAAACAUUCCAUGUCGGCGAAUUCCACGGUGAGCGUCCGUGCCUUGGGCAUAGCUCCUGUCUCGAAGCUCAGGCAUGCUGUGACAUCUUCAUCAAAUCGGAACUCAAAGUACUCCAAAACUAGGAACAAUCCCGUGCCGACCACCACUUUUUCUUGGGAGACAUCCAACACGUGGAUCCUGGCAUUGACCAUGAAGGGAAGCUCUCCAAGAAAAUGAACCUCAUCACUCGAAAGGUGCAAGACACACAGAUCGAGGACUCUGAGACAACACUUAGCUCAUGAAUCCAUUUGGGAACUCUAUCGAACUUCCAUUUUGCUAGAUUGAGUACCUCGAGAUGCGGCGGCGGAUCGGGCAAUGACUCCAGCUGCCUAGCAUUGUCAUAACAUUCACGAUGGCAAUCGAGGCAGAGGUGUUUGAUGUCUUGGAGCGUUCCAAUGGAGGAGACAAAAGCAUCGACUUGUUCAACCAUCCAAUGGUAAACGUCAACACCUUCAGAUUGGUCAACUCACUGAAAUCUUCGGCAUGUCCCAACAAUGCAGGGUGCAGAGUGAUUUCAUCUUCUGGACCCCUUUAGGCAGCGUUGUACCAAUUGGAAGUUCUAGAUGAAAUAGGUUGGCCAAGCGAGUUAUAUCUGAAGGAAAACUUUGUGCAGAUCGACAAACCAACUCCAGAGUUUCCAAAUGCACAAGUCCUUGGAUUUCAGCAGGGAGCGCUACAUGUGUUAAUCUGGCUAAAAUCUUCAAAAAUACCUUAGAAGAAACAAAUGGCCAAUUGCAGUGAGGUCAACUGUCGUAUACCACUGAUCUAGAAAUUCAAACAAAAGCACUAGUAGGUACUUGAACUGUGAAAGAUGAGGUAUGUACAUGGACUCCCUGAACCAUGCACAUGACCGAACUUGUGAAAUGCUAGUAGCAAGGGUCUUUGAUGUUGCACCACAUUCGAUGCCGACUGGUGUGGCGCCUCUCCACUCCGCGCAACCGAAUUCGACGGUGAGCGUCUCUACCUUGGGCAUAGCUCCUGCCUCGAAGCUCAGGCAUGAUGUGACAUCUUCAUCAAAUCGGAACUCAAAGUACUCCAAAACUGGGAACAACCCCGUGUCGACCAUCACUUUUUCUUGGGAGACAUCCAACAUGUGGAUCCUGGCAUCGGCCAUGACGGGAAGCUCUCGAAGAAAACCCAUAUUGACCCCUAUACACACACGGAUAAUUAUUCAAGAGAGCCUCCAGUUGUCGUGUGCUAUUCCUGUUGCUUCACGAUAUAUUACAAACAACCGAGGUGAGAUGUAUCGGCAUCCCCGUGGAUCAACAACUUGUCCACUAUGCCAGUUACCUCGUUACCAGUUUUGUUCUCUUUUCUCAUUUCCGUGUUCUGGCAUCCCUGUGAUCAAAUCACAUUAUGUCCGGCCAGGCAAUGAUGGAUACUAUAACACCGAGAGGGCCCUAAGAAUAUCUCUCCAUCAUCGGAGAAGCAAAUCCCAAUCUUGAGCUAUCUUGUUCCUUGUCAUACCUUUUCGUGAACCCGUAAGCCGUCGUAAUAGCCACCCAGUUACGGAUGACGUUUAACAAACCCCAAUGUUCACGAAGCAAGAACGAAGGAAUUCGACACUCUCAUGGUCUAAGGAAUUAUGCAAACAUUAAUUUUUUCUGUGUUAUUAACCAUUUAUUUGUGACCAAUGUAUCUCAUAGCAUAACAUCAAUUCGGGUCGAUUCAACACACGUGUUCUCCUAACAUUGUGCCCUCAAAAUUGCCGGCAUAGUCAUGCCCAUGAUCAGGAAAACAUGAUCAUCAUGCAAUACUUGAGCUAGUCUUAGAGGCAUGACUAGGAAUACAUUUUACCGUUUUAUUAUACCACACGUGCAUAUGAGUUUCCCUCCAAGCCUCGUUGAUAUUGCAAACUCGAGAAUCAUUGUAGUUAUAGCAUGGAACAUAAACAUCCAUUACAAACUUGAAGAUACAAAAUAAGUGUUGUUACUACCUCAAGGGCAUAUCUUCUACAGACUCCCACUUGCACUAGAGUCAUAAUCCAGUUACAUGGCUUCCCGAAUACCAAUGACUAUCUGGUGCUGCUCAUGCUUUGCUCGUGGUAGAGGCUUUGUCAUCGGGUCUGAUACAUUCAGAUCCGUGUGAACUUUGCGUACUUUCACUAAACCUGUUUUCGACAUGAUGUCGAAUGAGUUUAUAUUUGCGUUUAAUAUGUCUUGUCUUAUGGUGCGAAGAUGGCUCCCCUAGCCCGAGCCACGGUGACACUAUUAUCACAAUAGAUCUCCACCGGGUCCAGCGCACUUGGAACCACACCAAGGUAUUCAAGAAACUGCUUGAUCCAAACCGCCUCAUUGGAGGCUUCUGAAGCUACAACAUAUUCUGCUUCCGUCGUAGAAUCCGUCACAGUCUUUUGUUUGGAACUUUUCCAAUCAACUACACCACUCAAUAUGAAAACAUAGCCUAAUUGAGAUUUGAAGUCAUAUGGGUCAGUCAUGAAGCCUGCAUCAGUGUAACCACUUACAACGAGCUCUUCAUCACCUCGGUACACAAGGAGUAAAUCAUUGGUCCUUCUGAGGUACUUCAGAAUAUUUUUGACUGCGGCCCAGUGUUCCAAUCCUGGAUCACUUUGGUACCGGCUGCUAAGACUUAGCGCAGGAAACAUCUGGUCUUGUACAUAGCAUGGCAUACAUAAUGGAACCAACUACCGAAUCAUAUGGAACAUCAUUCAUUUGUACUCGCUCAUCGAGAGUCUGAGGACACUGAUUUUUGCAAAGCACUGUGCUAGGUGACAUGGGGGGUAGGCCUUUCCGUACCUCUUAUGUUUAAGGUCCCUAAGGUGGUCAAUCAGUGGCGGAUCUUAGUAGAAGUCUGAGGGGGCCGUGCCACCCCCGCCCCCAGCCUUAGGCAAAAAAUUGAAGAAAAUUUACUAUGCAGGGCUUAGAUAAGGAAAAAGUCAAUUAUUUACCCUGCUAAUUGUUCAUAUUUUGGCUUUGGCACCCUAAGAUUGCUAUCUAGCUCUGCCACUGAGGUCAAUAAUGUCUUGUAGCUCGUGAGCAUGAGAAGAAUCCGCCAUCUGAAGAUUUAAUUCCAGGCCACAGAGAAGGUUCUGCAAAUCUGGUCUUUGGGUGACUGAAAUAAAUGUCUCACAGUAAAACUAUUCUCUAAUCUUAUCAUACACUUGUUUGGCAAGCGUAGUUUUACCCAAGCCUCCAGAACCCAAGAUGGAAACCAGUUAGUUUCUUCUGUGAAUCUGUCAACCAACUGACAAGCUCUUCUCUCGGGCCAUCAAUACCGACGAGACCUACCUGCUUGAAGAUCGUUGACACCUGAGGAUCCGCGACCACAUUGCCAUGACUCGAAUUGAUGCAAUUAUCAAUCUUGUAACGCUCGCGCUGAGCAUUUGCCUCCACCACAAGAACCUUGAGCUCCUCGAUCCGAUUGACAAUCUGAUGACGCCUCCCCAACCUCUUGAGACGUUGAGACAUCUUCGUGACAAAACCUUUCUUUACAUGGGCACCCUCAUUGUGAUGAGGGAAGUCAUUGAUGCAAUUCUCCAUAUCAUAAGACAUCUCCCUGACAUGGUCCCUCCAGUUCUUGGCCGAGGGACCGAGCUCAUCCAUUAGCUCCAUUUUGUCAAGGAGAGCUUUCAUGGUGCAGAGCUCAUCCUUGAAGAAGGUGUUGGGGAACGUAGUAAUUUCCAAAAAUUUCCUACGCACACACAGGAUCAUGGUGAUGCAUAGCAACGAGAGGGGAGAGUGUUGUCCACGUACCCUCGUAGACCGAAAGCGGAAGCGUUAGCACAACGCGGUUGAUGUAGUCGUACGUCUUCACGAUCCGACCGAUCAAUUACCGAACGCACGGCACCUCCGAGUUCAGCACACGUUCAGCUCGAUGACGUCCCUCGAACUCCGAUCCAGCCGAGCUUUGAGGGAGAGUUUCGUCAGCAUGACGGCGUGGUGACGAUGUUGAUGUUCUACCGACGCAGGGCUUCGCCUAAGCACCGCUACGAUAUUAUCGAGGUGGAUUCUGGUGGAGGGGGGCACCGCACACGGCUAAGAGAUCAAUGAUCAAUUGUUGUCCCUCCAAGGGGUGCCCCCCUCCCCGUAUAUAAAGGAGUGGAGGAGGGGGAGGGCCGGCCCUCUCUAUGGCGCGCCCUAGGAGGAGUCCUACUCCCACCGGGAGUAGGAUUCCCCCCCUUCCAAGUAGUAGGAGUAGGAGUCAAGGAAAGGGGAGAGAGAAGAGAAGGAAGGAGGGGGCGCAGCCCCUCCCCCUAGUCCAAUUCGAACUAGGCCUUGGGGGCGCGCAGCCUCUACUCUCUCUUUCCCCUAAAGCCCAAUAAGGCCCAUAUACUCCCCGGCGAAUUCCCGUAACUCUCCGGUACUCCGAAAAAUACCCGAAUCACUCGGAACCUUUCCUAUGUCUGAAUAUAGUCGUCCAAUAUAUCAAUCCUUACGUCUCGACCAUUUCGAGACUCCUCGUCAUGUCCCCGAUCUCACCCGGGACUCCGAACUACCUUCGGUAUAUCAAAACACAUAAACUCAUAAUAUAACCGUCAUCGAACUUUAAUCGUGCGGACCCUACGGGUUCGAGAACAAUGUAGACAUGACCGAGACACGUCUCCGGUCAAUAACCAAUAGCGGAACCUGGAUGCUCAUAUUGGCUCCCACAUAUUCUACGAAGAUCUUUAUCGGUCAAACCGCAUAACAACAUACGUUGUUCCCUUUGUCAUCGGUAUGUUACUUGCCCGAGAUUCGAUCGUCGGUAUCUCAAUACCUAGUUCAAUCUCGUUACCGGCAAGUGUCUUUACUCGUUUCGUAAUACAUCAUCCCGCAACUAACUCAUUAGUUACAAUGCUUGCAAGGCUUAUAGUGAUGUGCAUUACCGAGUGGCCCAGAGAUACCUCUCCGACAAUCGGAGUGACAAAUCCUAAUCUCGAAAUACGCCAGCCCAACAAGUACCUUCGGAGACACCUAUAGAGCAACUUUAUAAUCACCCAGUUACGUUGUGAUGUUUGGUAGCACACAAAGUGUUCCUUCGGUAAACGAGAGUUGCAUAAUCUCAUAGUCAUAGGAACAUGUAUAAGUCAUGAAGAAAGCAAUAGCAACAUACUAAACGAUCGAGUGCUAAGCUAACGGAAUGGGUCAAGUCAAUCACAUCAUUCUCCUAAUGAUGUGAUCCCAUUAAUCAAAUGACAACUCAUGUCUAUGGUUAGAAACUUUAUCAUCUUUGAUUAAUGAGCUAGUCAAGUAGAGGCAUACUAGUGACACUAUAUUUGUCUAUGUAUUCACACAUGUAUUAUGUUUUCGGUUAAUACAAUUCUAGCAUGAAUAAUAAACAUUUAUCAUGAAAUAAGGAAAUAAAUAAUAACUUUAUUAUUGCCUCUAGGGCAUAUUUCCUUCAGUCUCCCACUUGCACUAGAGUCAAUAAUCUAUUUCACAUCGCCAUGUGAUUUAACACCAAUAGUUCACAUCACCAUGUGAUUAACACCCAUAGUUCACAUCGUCAUGUGACCAACACCCAAAGGGUUUAUUAGAGUCAAUAAUCUAGUUCACAUUGCUAUGUGAUUAACACCCAAAGAGUACUAAGGUGUGAUCAUGUUUUGCUUGUGAGAGAAGUUUAGUCAACGGGUCUGCCAUAUUCAGAUCCGUAUGUAUUUUGCAAAUUUCUAUGUCAACAAUGCUCUGCACGGAGCUACUCUAGCUAAUUGCUCCCACUUUCAAUAUGCAUCCAGAUUGAGAUUUAGAGUCAUCUGGAUCAGUGUCAAAACUUGCAUCGACGUAACCCUUUACGACGAACCUUUUUUCACCUCCAUAAUCGAGAAACAUAUCCUUAUUCCACUAAGGAUAAUUUUGACCGUUGUCCAGUGAUCUACUCCUAGAUCACUAUUGUACUCUCUUGCCAAAAUCAGUGUAGGGUAUACAAUAGAUCUGGUUCACAGCAUGGCAUACUUUAUAGUACCUAUGGCUGAGGCAUAGGGAAUGACUUUCAUUCUCUUUCUAUCUUCUGCCGUGGUCGGGCUUUGAGUCUUACUCAAUUUCACACCUUGUAACACAGGCAAGAACUCUUUCUUUAACUGUUCCAUUUUGAACUACUUCAAAAUCUUGUCAAGGUAUGUACUCAUUGAAAAAACUUAUCAAGCGUCUUGAUCUAUCUCUAUAGAUCUUGAUGCUCAAUAUGUAAGCAGCUUCACCGAGGCCUUUCUUUGAAAAACUCCUUUCAAACACUCAUUUAUGCUUUGCAGAAUAAUUCAACAUUAUUUCCGAUCAACAAUAUGUCAUUCACAUAUACUUACCAGAAAUGUUGUAGUGCUCCCACUCACUUUCUUGUAAAUACAGGCUUCACCACAAGUCUGUAUAAAACUAUAUGCUUUAAUCAACUCAUCAAAGCGUAUAUUCCAACUCUGAGAUGCUUGCACCAGUCCAAAGAUGGAUCGCUGGAGCUUGCACAUUUUGUUAGCACCUUUAGGAUUGACAAAACCUUCUAGUUGCAUCAUAUACAACUCUUCUUUAAUAAAUCCAUUAAGGAAUGCAGUUUUGUUUAUCCAUUUGUCAGAUUUCAUAAAAUGCGGCAAUUGCUAACAUGAUUCGGACAGACUUAAGCAUAAAUACAAGUGAGAAACUCUCAUCGUAGUCAAUACCUUGAACUUGUCGAAAACCUUUUGCGACAAUUCUAGCUUUGUAGAUAGUAACACUACUAUCAGCGUCCGUCUUCCCCUUGAAGAUCCAUUUAAUCUCAAUGGCUCGCCUAUCAUUGGGCAAGUCAAUCAAAGUCCAUACUUUGUUCUCAUACAUGGAUCCCAUCUCAGAUUUCAUGGCCUCAAGCCAUUUUGCGGAAUCUGGGCUCAUCAUCGCUUCCUCAUAGUUCGUAGGUUCGUCAUGGUCAAGUAACAUGACCUCGAGAACAGGAUUACCGUACCACUCUGGUGCGGAUCUUACUCUAGUUGACCUACGAGGUUCGGUAGUAACUUGAUUUGAAGUUUCAUGAUCAUCAUCAUUAGCUUCCUCACUAAUUGGUGUAGGUGUCACAGGAACCAGUUUCUGUGAUGAACUACUUUCCAAUAAGGGAGCAGGUACAGUUACCUCAUCAAGUUCUACUUUCCUCCCACUCACUUCUUUCGAGAGAAACUCCUUCUCUAGAAAGGAUCCAUUCUCAGCAACGAAUAUCUUGCCUUCGGAUCUGUGAUAGAAGGUGUACCCAAUUGUCUCCUUUGGGUAUCAUAUGAAGACACAAUUCUCCGAUUUGGGUUUGAGCUUAUCAGGAUGAAAACUUUUUCACAUAAGCAUCGGAACCCCAAACUUUAAGAAACGACAGCUUAGGUUUCUUGCUAAACCAUAGUUCAUACGGUGUCGUCUCAAUGGAUUUAGAUGGUGCCCCUUUUUUAUGUGAAUGCAGCUGUCUCUAAUGCAUAACCCCAAAACUAUAGUGGUAAAUCGGUAAGAAACAUCAUAGAUUGCACUAUAUCCAAUAAAGUACGGUUAUGACGUUCGGACACACCAUUAUGCUGCGGUGUUCCAGGUGGCAAGAAUUUGUGAAACUAUUCCACAUUGUUUUAAUUGAAGACCAAACUCGUAACUCAAAUAUUUGUCUCCACGAUCAGAUCGUAGAAACCUUAUUUACUUGUCACGAUGAUUUUCCACUUCACUCUAAAGUUCUUUGAACUUUUCAAAUGUUUCGGACUUAUGUUUCAUCAAGUAGAUAUACCCAUAUCUGCUCAAAUCAUCUGUGAAGGUCAGAAAAUAACUAUACCCGCCGCGAGCCUCAACACUCAUCGGACCACAUACAUCAGUAUGUAUGAUUUCCAACAAAUCUGUUGCUUGCUCCAUUGUUCCGGAGAACGGCGUUUUAGUCAUCUUGCCCAAGAGGCAUGGUUCGCAAGCAUCAAGUGAUUCCAAAAGCCCAUCAGCAUGGAGUUUCUUCAUGCGUUUUACACCAAUAUGACCUAAAUGGCAGUGCCACAAAUAAGUUGCACUAUCAUUAUUAACUUUGCAUCUUUUUGGCUUCAAUAUUAUGAAUAUGUGUAUCACUACGAUCGAGAUCCAACAAACCAUUUUCGUUGGUGUGUAUGACCAUAGAAGGUUCUAUUCAUGUAAACAGAACAACAAUUGUUCUCUAACUUAAAUGAAUAACCGUAUUGCAAUAAACAUGAUCAAAUCAUAUUUAUGCUCAACGCAAACAUCAAAUAACACUUAUUUAGGUUCAACACUAAUCCCUAAAGUAUAGGGAGUGUGCGAUGAUGAUCAUAUCAAUCUUGGAACCACUUCCAACACACAUCGUCACUUCACCCUUAACUAGUCUCUGUUCAUUCUGUUACUCCUGUUUCGAGUUACUAAUUUUUAGCAACCGAACAAGUAUCAAAUACCCAGGGGCUACUAUAAACACUAGUAAGGUACACAUCAAUAACAUGUAUAUCAAAUAUAUCUUGUUCACUUUGCCAUCCUUCUUAUCCGCCAAAUACUUGGGGUGGUUCCGCUUCUAGUGACUAGUCCCUUUGCAGUAGAAGCACUUAGUUUCAGGCUUAGGUCCAGACUUGGGCUUCUUUACUUAAGCAGCAACUUGCUUGCCGUUCUUCUUGAAGUUCUCAUUCUUCCCUUUGUCCUUUCUCUUGAAACUAGUGGUCUUGUCAACCAUCAACACUUGAUGUUUUUCUUAAUUUCUACCUUCGCCGAUUUUAGCAUCGCGAAGAGCUUGGGAAUUGUUUUCGUCAUCCCUUGCAUAUUAUAGUUCUUCACGAAGUUCUACUAACUUGGUGAUGGUGACUAGAGAAUUCUGUCAAUCACUAUUUUAUCUGGAAGAUUAACUCCCACUUGAUUCAAGCGAUUGUAGUACCCAGACAAUCUGAGCACAUGCUCACUGCUUGAGCUAUUCUCCUCCAUAUUUUAGCUAUAGAACUUGUUGGAGACUUCAUAUCUCUCAACUCGGGUAUUUGCUUGAAAUAUUAACUUCAACUCCUGGAACAUCUCAUAUGGUCCAUGACGUUCAAAACGUCUUUGAAGUCCCGAUUCUAAGCCGUUAAGCAUGGUGCACUAAACUAUCAAGUAGUCAUCAUAUUUAGCUAGCCAAACGUUCAUAACGUCUGCAUCUGCUCCUGCAAUAGGUCUGUCACCUAGCGGUGCAUCAAGGACAUAAUUCUUCUGUGCAGCAAUGAGGAUAAUCCUCAGAUCACGGAUCCAAUCCGCAUCAUUGCUACUAACAUCUUUCAACUCAGUUUUCUCUAGGAACAUAUCAAAAUAAAACAGGGGAGCUAAACGCGAGCUAUUGAUCUACAACAUAGAUAUGCUAAUACUACCAAGAAUAAGUUCAUGAUAAAUUUAAGUUCAAUCAAUCAUAUUACUUAAGAACUCCCACUUAGAUAGACAUCCCUCUAAUCCUCUAAGUGAUCACGUGAUCCAAAUCAACUAAACCAUGUCCAAUCAUCACGUGAGAUGGAGUAGUUUCAAUGGUGAACAUCACUAUGUUGAUCAUAUCUACUAUAUGAUUCACGCUCGACCUUUCGGUCUCAGUGUUCCGAGGCCAUAUCUGUUAUAUGCUAGGCUCGUCAAGUUUAACCUGAGUAUUCCGCGUGUGCAACUGUUUUGCACCCGUUGUAUUUGAACGUAGAGCCUAUCACACCCGAUCAUCACGUGGUGUCUCAGCACGAAGAACUUUCGCAACGGUGCAUACUCAGGGAGAACACUUAUACCUUGAUAAUUUAGUGAGAGAUCAUCUUAUAAUGCUACCGUCAAUCAAAGCAAGAUAAGAUGCAUAAAAUAUAAACAUCACAUGCAAUCAAUAUAAGUGAUAUGAUAUGGCCAUCAUCUUCUUGUGCUUGUGAUCUCCAUCUCCGAAGCACCGUCAUGAUCACCAUCGUCACCGGCGCGACACCUUGAUCUCCAUCGUAGCAUCGUUUUCGUCUCGCCAACUUAUGCUUCUACGACUAUCGCUACCGCUUAGUGAUAAAGUAAAGCAUUACAGGGCGUUUGCAUUGCAUACAAUAAAGCGACAACCAUAUGGCUCCUGCCAAUUGCCGAUAACUCGGUUACAAAACAUGAUCAUAUCAUACAAUAAAAUGUAGCAUCAUGCCUUGACCAUAUCACAUCACAACAUGCCCUGCAAAAACAAGUUAGACGUCCUUUACUUUGUUGUUGCAAGUUUUACGUGGCUGCUACAGGCUGAGCAAGAACCGUUCUUACCUACGCAUCAAAACCACAACGAUAGUUUGUCAAGUUGGUGCUGUUUUAACCUUCGCAAGGACCGGGCGUAGCCACACUCGGUUCAACUAAAGUUGGAGAAACUGACAUCCGCUAGUCACCUGUGUGCAUAGCACGGCGGUAAACCAGUCUCGCGUAAGCGUACGCGUAAUGUCGGUCCGGGCCGCUUCAUCCAACAAUACCGCCGAACCAAAAUAUGACAUGCUGGUAAGCAGUAUGACUUGUAUCGCCCACAACUCACUUGUGUUCUACUCGUGCAUAUGUCAUCUACGCAUAAAGCCUGGCUCUGAUGCCACUAUUGGGGAACGUAUUAAUUUCAAAAAAUUUCCUACGCACACACAGGAUCAUGGUGAUGCAUAGCAACGAGAGGGGAGAAUGUUGUGCAUGUACCCUUGUAGACCAAAAGCGGAAGCGUUAGCACAACGCGGUUGAUGUAGUCGUACGUCUUCACGAUCCGACCGAUCAAUUACCGAACGCACGGCACCUCCGAGUUCAGCACACGUUCAGCUCGAUGACGUCCCUCGAACUCCGAUCCAGCCGAGCUUUGAGGGAGAGUUUCGUCAGCACGACGGCGUGGUGAUGAUGAUGAUGUUCUACCGACGCAGGGCUUCGCCUAAGCACCGCUACGAUAUUAUCGAGGUGGAUUCUGGUGGAGGGGGGCACCGCGCACGGCUAAGAGAUCAAUGAUCAAUUGUUGUCCCUCCAAGGGGUGCCCCCCUCCCCGUAUAUAAAGGAGUGGAGGAGGGGGAGGGCCGGCCCUCUCUAUGGCGCGCCCUAGGAGGAGUCCUACUCCCACCGGGAGUAGGAUUCCCCCCUUCCAAGUAGUAGGAGUAGGAGUCAAGGAAAGAGGAGAGAGAAGAGAAGGAAGGAGGGGGCGCAGCCCCUCCCCCUAGUCCAAUUCGGACUAGGCCUUGGGGGGCGCGCAGCCUCUCCUCUCUCUUUCCCCUAAAGCCCAAUAAGGCCCAUAUACUCCCCGGCGAAUUCCCGUAACUCUCCGGUACUCCGAAAAAUACCCGAAUCACUCGGAACCUUUCCUAUGUCUGAAUAUAGUCGUCCAAUAUAUCAAUCUUUACGUCUCGACCAUUUCGAGACUCCUCGUCAUGUCCCCGAUCUCACCCGGGACUCCGAACUACCUUCGGUAUAUCAAAACACAUAAACUCAUAAUAUAACCGUCAUCGAACUUUAAGCGUGCGGACCCUACGGGUUCGAGAACAAUGUAGACAUGACCGAGACACGUCUCCGGUCAAUAACCAAUAGCGGAACCUGGAUGCUCAUAUUGGCUCCCACAUAUUCUAUGAAGAUCUUUAUCGAUCAAACCGCAUAACAACAUACGUUGUUCCCUUUGUCAUCGGUAUGUUACUUGCCCGAGAUUCGAUCGUUGGUAUCUCAAUACCUAGUUCAAUCUCGUUACCGGCAAGUCUCUUUACUCGUUUUGUAAUACACCAUCCCGCAACUAACUCAUUAGUUACAAUGCUUGCAAGGCUUAUAGUGAUGUGCAUUACCGAGUGGGCCCAGAGAUACCUCUCCGACAAUCGGAGUGACAAAUCCUAAUCUCGAAAUACGCCAACCCAACAAGUACCUUCGGAGACACCUGUAGAGCACCUUUAUAAUCACCCAGUUACGUUUUGACGUUUGGUAGCACACAAAGUGUUCCUCCGGUAAACGGGAGUUGCAUAAUCUCAUAGUCAUAGGAAUAUGUAUAAGUCAUGAAGAAAGCAAUAGCAACAUACUAAACGAUCGAGUGCUAAGCUAACGGAAUGGGUCAAGUCAAUCACAUCAUUCUCCUAAUGAUGUGAUCCCAUUAAUCAAAUGACAACUCAUGUCUAUGGUUAGAAACUUUAUCAUCUUUGAUUAAUGAGCUAGUCAAGUAGAGGCAUACUAGUGACACUAUAUUUGUCUAUGUAUUCACACAUGUAUUAUGUUUCCGGUUAAUACAAUUCUAGCAUGAAUAAUAAACAUUUAUCAUGAAAUAACGAAAUAAAUAAUAACUUUAUUAUUGCCUCUAGGGCAUAUUUCCUUCAGAAGGAGACCUGUUUCCUCACUCCCGUGAGCUUCUUGUACUCCUCGCCAAGCAGCGUUGUGAGCUAGCUAAGGAGAGGGUUCAUCAUUCUGGUCCUCGCACUUGCUGCCAUCCCGAUUGAGGAGGCUGGUGAGCUAGCUAUUUCUGUGUCGCAAGGCAAGUAAGCUGGGCUGGCAAAGAAAAGCUUAGUGUGGGAUGGUAUUAUCUAUACUCGGAGCUACCCCUACUAUAGGCUUAAAAAUUGUUUAACUGAUAUCAGUACUUCUAUAGAUUCAUGCCAAGAUUUGAAUACUCUAACCAUGCAUUGGAAAGCAUAUCUAAGCCAUUGGGUUCAAGUGUAUAACUUUUUCUUUUUCUUUUGAGUGGACCUCGUACGUUCUCGUGGCCAAAUGUAUAACAUGAUGCCAUAGCAGCAUAUGACACAAAGCGAGACCCUUUGCAUAGGAAUCUUAGCUAUUUUACAAAACAAAAUCAAGAACAACAACAACAAUAUGGAUGCGCUGAUUGCGGUGCCUGGCGCGAGUGCCUUUGUCAUGAAGGUACUCGAGGCCUGAUGAUUUUCAUCAUGAUGGAAGAUGCUGAACCUUCUCGACCAAACGUUGAAGGCUUUCCAAUAUGGUUGGAAUGAUUUUUUUGAGGGGGUGGGGGUGGGGGGUCCUUACAAAAACACCCUUACAGAAAUCGAGAAAUUCAUCUUACAUCCACCGACGCCGCCUCUGGCCUGAAGCAAACUUGUUGAAACCCGAGAGCUUCUAGAAACAGUGGCCAGAGCAAACCAAAAGAUGCUGGCGACCGUGUUUUCCGGAGAAAAAAUGUCGUGGAUUUAUUUCAGGCUCUCCGGCGUUAUUUUCAUUUUUUCAGUGGUUUGGCGUGCCUGCCAACUAUGAGAUGCGUAUAACGACUUUAUCAAUAUCAUGAUCUGCCAACUCAAUCUUUCUGAAGUACUCAUAGAGAUAGGGUUGUGUGCGCAUGUUCAUAAGGAUGAGUGUGUGUGCGUGUUGUGACCAGGCCGGUAUUGUGUUGUAAAGAUAAGAAUUCUUUAAGUACAAAGAAGGAGAAAAUCACUCCGUGAGAGAAGGGAGAGAAACUCCUUUCUUUUAACCUAUGAGAGGAAAAACUUAUUUAUAUUUUUUGAGGGGUAUAAAGCCAACUUUAAUUGAUCAAACGCCGCAGAACGUGGAAUACUUCUAUGAUCAUGGGGUUGACCUUGCUACACGUGGCGCCCCCAACCUAACGAAUGCGAAAGUUUGGCUAGACUAUGUGAUUUAUUGUUCAAAUCACAACCUUCGAAUAUAAUUUACAAUUAAAAAUUGAUGCUUGCAGUUGUAUCUCGCUCAUAAUGGGACCGUAACGUCCUUGAAUUUCCCUUGCUGAUAUGUCCCACUAUUUGCUUUGAAUCAGAAGCAACAAUAGUCGUUGAAGAAGAAGAAAAUAUUCCGCUAUGAAUAAGGCCUCCCUACAAUUGACCGCCUCGAGUGUUGUCAAACUGUUCUCUAAUCUUAUCAUACACUUGUUUGGCAAGUGUAGUUUUAUCCAACCCUCCUGAACCCAAGAUGAAAACCACUUAGUUUCUUCUGUGAAUCUGUCAACCAACUGACAAGCUCUUCUCUCGGGCCAUCAAUACUGAUGAGACCUACCUGCUUGAAGAUCGCUGACACCCGGGGAUCUGCAACCACAUUGCCAUGACUCGAAUUGAUGCAAUUAUCAAUUGUACCGCUCACGCCGAGCAUUUGCCUCCACCACAAGAACCUUGAGCUCCUUGUACCGGUUGGCAAUCUGAUGACGCCUCCCCAACCUCUUGAGACGUUGAGACAUCUUCCUGACAAAAAUUUUCUUUACAUGGGCACCCUCAAUGCGAUGAAUGAAGUCAUUGAUGCAAUUCUCCACAUCAUAGGACAUCUCCCUGACAUGGUCCCUCCAGUCCUUGGCCGAGGGAUUGAGCUCAUCCAUUAGCUCCAUCAUGUCAAGGAGAGCUUUCAUGGCGCUGAGCGCAUCCUUGAGGAAGGAGACUUGCUUCCUCACUCCCGUGAGCUUCUUGUACUCCUCGCCAAGCAGCGUUGUGAGCUUGCUGAGGAGAGGGUUCAUCACUCUGGUCGUCACACUCGCUUCCAACCCGAUUGAGGAGGCUGGUGAGCUAGCUAUUUCUGUAUCACAAGGCAAGUAAGCUAGGCUGGUAAAGAAAAGCUUAGUGUGCGAUGGUACUAUCUAUACUGGGAGCUUCCCCUACUAUAGACUUUCAAAAAUUGUUUAACUGAUACCAGUACUUCUAUAGAUCCAUGCCAAGAUUUGAAUACUCUAACCAUGCAUUGGGAAGCAUAUCUAAGCUAUUGGGUUCAAGCGUAUAACUUCUUCUUUUGAUUUUGUGUGGACCUUGUACGUUCUCGUGGCCAAAUGUACAACAUGAUGCCAUAUCAGCACAUGGCACAAAGCAAGACCCUUUGCAUAGGAAUCUUAGCUAUUUUACGAAGCACCUGUCCGUAUUUUGUUGUAAAGAUAAGAAUUCUUGAAGUACAAAGAAGGAGAAAAUCACUCCGUGAGAGAAGGGAGAGAAACUCCGUUUUUUAACCUGUGAGAGGAGAAACUUACUAAUAUUUUUUGAGGGGUAUAAAGCCAAGUUUAAUUGAUCAAACGCCGCAGAGCGUGGAAUACUUCUCUGAUCAUGGGGUUGAUCUUGCUACACAUGGCGCCCCCAACCCAACGAAUGCGAAAGUUUGGCUAGACUAUGUGCUUUAUUGUUCAAAUCACGACCUUCGAAUAUAAUUUACAAUUAAAAAUUGAUGCUCGCAGUGGUAUCUCACUCAAAAUGGGACCGUAACGUCCUUAAUUUCACUUGCUGAUAUCUCUCCCACCACUUGCUUUGAAUCACAAGCAACAAUGAGUCGUGGAAGAAGAAGAAAAUAUUCCGCUAUGAAUAAGGCCUCCCUACAAUUGACCGCCUUGAGUUUUUUUUGAGACAAACUGCAAAGCUUUAUUACGUCGUCACAAUGUUUACAGGGACGAAAACAAGAUCGUUGGGCUGGUCUAACCAAACAUGGCGGCCAACCCCGAGGGAUAAAGCGUGCUUUGCUAGUUUGUGAGCCUCGAUAUUCGAGCUCCUAAAUUCAUGAAGUAUAUUACAAGCCUCAAAUUCAGACCUAUGUUGUAUGAUUUCAUGUGCAAUUGCCCCGUAGCUUCCUUUGUUGUGCUGUUGAAUGUCGUCGACUGCCACUUUACAAUCCGAAGCAACAUGUACCCUCCUGACAUAUAUGUCAUCUGCCAAUGCCAAAGCCUCCCUGAUUGCGAGCAUCUCCAAGGUUCCGGGGUCUGAGAGAUGGGAGAAAACCACCGCCGAAGCUCCCAAGAAGGCUCCGUCUUGGCCUCUACAGAUUGCUCCCGCUGCACCCCGCGCCCGGCCUACUGCAGCAUCUACAUUGAUUUUGACCAACCCCAAUGGCGGUGCAAUCCAGUUAUUAAUUCGAGGCUGUGGCACCCUAACCCCAGCGACAUUCGGCUUCUGGAUAGCCUUGAGAUCUGCUAUGUAAGAAUUUAUAAACCCAUUGAUGGCAUAAGGUGUCUGAAAGAUAUCCUCGUGUAUUGCCUUCCUUCGGGCGCCCUAUAGUGCCCAUAGGGUGACGACGAAGACUAGGAAAUCAUCUUGGUUGAGCGCUUCGUGCAUGACGAACAACCAUCUUUUUGCGUUUUCCUCAAUGCAUGUGCUCAUCUUGUCAAGGAUCGCCUCUGAAGACAGCGCCCAGGUGCUCCUGGAGACCGAGCAAUCCACAAGGGCAUGGCGCCAGGUGUCAACAGCCCCACACAGACAGCAAGCUCGUGAGGAUGACAUAUUUCGAUGGUUGAGUAGCGCUGCUGUGGGGACAGAAUGCUUGGCGAGUCUCCAUAAGAAGAAUUUCAGCUUUGAGGGAACCUUGAUCCGCCACAGUUCGGUCCAACCCUGGUUAGCACCAAUGGAGCCGGAAGAGGAUCCAUCUUCAUACAACCAUGCCUCGCGACUUAGCUUCGUUCGCUGGAUCAUCCGGUAUGCCGAUCGUACGGUAAACAUGCCCUUCCUCUCCUCGGAACAAGCCCAAAAAUCGUCAGUCUGGCGUGUACAAAGGGGUAUUUGCAAUAUUGCUGCUGCUUCGAUUGGUAUAAACACCGUCCGGACUAGAUCCUCCUUCCAGGAUGAUGAAGUAUGGUCUAUCAACUCAGCCACUGUAGUUGGUGGAUUCUGCACUAGAGAGGUGACCGGCUUCUUCAUGUUUGGCCUCGGCAACCAAUUAUCCUCCCAUAUAUUUGUCGAUUCACCGUCUCCGAUUCUACGCACCAGCCCCUGAACCAUGAUAUCCCGACCGUCCAAAAUAGCCCGCCAAAUCUGCGAGGGAUGAGACCCUAGUGUUGCGCCAAAUAUGUCCGAGUUAGGGUAAUAUACUGCUUUCAGGAUCCUCGCACUCAGAGACAGUGGGUUUUGCAACAUGCGCCAGGACUGCCGUGCUAGGAGGGCCAAGUUAAACAUCUCCAUAUCCCGAAAGCCAAGACCUCCAAGAUGCUUUGGCAGGGUCACCACGUCCCACGCCACCCAACUCGGUUUUCGUUUCCCAUGCUUGCUUCCCCACCAGAAUUGUCUGAUCAGCGAAGUAAUGCUUUCACAUAGACCCCGUGGCAGCCGGAAACAUGCCAUCGAAUAUACUGGAAUUGCUUGAGCCACCGCUUUAAUCAGUACCUCUUUCCCUGCUGAAGAUAAUAGCUUUUCCAUCCAUCCCUUAACCUUUUCCCAGACUCGGUCCCUCAAAUAUUUGAAGGUCCCGUUCUUCGAGUGACCGACCUCCGUUGGCAUUCCCAGAUACCUGUCACUGAGGGACUCGUUGUGCACAUUCAGAACAUUUUUCAUAUCAUCUCUUACCACUUGUGGGCAUCCUCUGCUGAAGAAAAUCGAAGACUUAUCAUGAUUUAUCCUCUGACCCGAAGCCAAGCAGUACGUUUCAAGUAGGUUUGAUACCGCUACUGCCCCCUCAUUCCCUGACUUAAAAAGCAGCAGGUUGUCAUCUGCGAAAAGAAGAUGGUUAACGGUCGGGGCCGUGGGUGCCACCUUUAGUCCAACAAUAUUUGAUGACGGAGAACUGGUUUUCAGGAGGCACGAAAGGCCCUCCGCUACAAUUAAGAAGAGAUAGGGGGAUAUCGGAUCUCCCUGCCUUAUACCUCUCCUCGGCAUAAACUGAUCAAGCCUUUCACCAAUUAAAAGCACUGAGAANNNNNNNNNNNNNNNNNNNNNNNNNNNNNNNNNNNNNNNNNNNNNNNNNNNNNNNNNNNNNNNNNNNNNNNNNNNNNNNNNNNNNNNNNNNNNNNNNNNNNNNNNNNNNNNNNNNNNNNNNNNNNNNNNNNNNNNNNNNNNNNNNNNNNNNNNNNNNNNNNNNNNNNNNNNNNNCAAAACCGAGUUUUCCCAUGAUUGCUUCCAAAUAGUCCCAUUCCAGCCUGUCAUAUGCUUUCAUCAUAUCAAGCUUAAGUGCACAAUAACUGUUAGCCGUAGCUUUGCUCCGCUUCAUAAAAUGAAGACAUUCAUAUGCACUGAUAAUGUUAUCCGUUAUGAGUCUGCCCGGUACGAAGGCCGAUUGCUCCUCAGAUAUGAUAUCCGGUAGAAUUUGCUUGAGCCUGUUUGCAAUGACUUUGGAGGCAAUUUUGUAUAGUACAUUACACAGGCUAAUAGGCCUAAAUUGGGACAAAACAGUGGGGUUUGUUACCUUGGGAAUCAGAACAAGGAUGGUGUCAUAUGCACUCCGAGCUCUCCUCCCCCCUCACAAUUCUCAACACUGCCUCAGUCACCUCUGUACCACAAAGCUCCCAGUGUCGCUGAUAAAAAUGUGCCGGAAAACCAUCCGGUCCGGGCGCCUUGGUCGGGAACAUCUGAAACAAGGCUGCCUUGACCUCCUCGUUUGCGUAUGGUGCACACAACAACUCAUUCGUCUCCGAUGUUACUUUCAUUGGGCCGCUGUCUAGGACAGUCUCCAUGUUGCUUACACCAUGAAUCACCAAGGCCGAGCUCCCAAUUCGAAGAGGUAAACCCUAUGGGGUGAAAAAAUGGGUCCAAUUAGAGCCCAGUGCUGAACCGAACGACAAGAACCGAAAAUGGCAGCCCAUUCUCACCGGCCCCUAUUUCUUUCCUUCCCCACACACCACACAAAAAUACCUCCGCCGCCGCCGCCGUCACUGCCGCCAGCGGCCGCAGCCGCGAUGCUCCGCCUCCGAGAGCGCAUCGUUUCCCAUCUCCUCUCUUUCUCCUCCACCUCUGGCCCGGCCAUCUCCCCUCUCCACCGGCUCCUCUCCGCAUCGGCAGCCGCCGGCCCCAUUUCCCCGAACCCCAGUGGAUUCGCCGUCGAGGACUACCUCGUCGACACCUGCGGCCUCACCCGCCCCCAAGCCAUCAAGGCCUCCAUGAAGCUCUCCCACCUCAAGACCCCCGCCAAACCCAACGCCGUCCUCGCCUUCCUCUCCGGCCUCGGCCUCUCCGGCGCCGACGUCGCCCCGGUUGUCGCCAAGGACCCGCAGCUCCUAUGCGCCAAAGUGGACAAAACCCUGGCUCCGGUGGUCGAUGGGCUCACCGGCCUCGGCCUGUCGCGUUCCGACAUCGCCCGCCUCGUCUUCCUCACCCCCGGCGGCUUCCGCCGUAGAGCCAUAGUCUCCAGGCUGCAGUACUACCUGCCCCUCUUCGGCUCAUUCGACAACUUACUCCGGCUGCUCAAGUGCGACUCCAACCUUCUCUCAAUCGACCUUGACAAGGUGGUCAAACCCAAUGUCGCGUUCCUGAGGGAGUGCGGGCUAGGUGAUUGUGAUAUUGCCAAGCUGUGUAUCCGUGUGCCGAGGUUGCUCACCACCAACCCGGAGCGCGUCGGGGCGAUGGUCGCAUGUGCUGAAACAUUAGGUGUGCCCCGUGGCUCUGGGAUGCUCAGGAAAGCGCUGCAGGCUGUCGCGUUUCUCAGCGAGGAGAAGAUUGCCGCCAAAGUGGACUACUUGAAGAAUACGUUCAGGUGGUCUGAUGCCGAAGCUUGCGUUGCUGUGCGCAAGUAUCCGAGUGUGUUGAGGAAGUCAAAGGAAUCUCUGAAGCGCAGGUCUGAGUUCCUGGUCUCUGAGGUGGGACUGGAACCCGUGUCCAUUGCUCAUCAACCGGUAGUUCUCAGUCUUAGCUUGGAGGGCCGGCUCAGACCCCGGUACUAUGUUAUAAAGUUUCUCAAGGAAAAUGGACUGCUACAUCGUGACCCGAGCUUCUUUACUGCGGUCAAGAUCACUGAGAAGGUAUUUGUGGAGAAACUCAUAUCCCCUCACAAGGAAGCUGCACCACACCUCGCUGAAGACUAUGCAACAGCUUGCAAAGGGGAAGCGCCAACUAAUUUCAUAUUUAGAUGGACCAGGAACAGGCUAUGAAAAUCCGUAACCUGUGUAUGGCGCAAGAAAGUUUUCACUCUGUGUAGUAAGUUGGUAACUCCUGCCUUGGUGUUUAGGCCUAACUGGAUGUUCACUAUCUUUUCUAGUGUGUUUGCUACUUGCCAGUUUGCUCAUUGCUAACUCUUGAUGUAACUAGUGAUAAAUUGAUUUCUGAACCCUGAUAGGCUGUUGUUGUCAUUCCUUAGAGAAGAUCCUUCAAAAUAUCAGUCUGGUCUGCUUUUAUGGCAAUUUUUAUCUAGCAUGUUC